GAGGAGGAGGUAUCCUUUCAACAAUUGCAUUCAAUAUCUCCGUUAUACCAAUUCCUUCCUGUAUCAAUCAAUCAAAUAUGUAUGCCAUCAAAAAUGUAAUUGAAUGGAUAGAGAGUUAGAUGUCUUUAAAUCUAUAUGUAACAGAAUAGCAAAAUGAUUUUAAAAAUUCUAACCUUUGCUGAGCAGAGUAUUGCUUUGCUACAGUCUAACCCAAUAACCUACAAAGAAUCACAAAGCAAAGUUAAAAGGCAUACAAUGAAUAUCUAAGACAAUGUCUAACAGAAGGUAGAACCUAGUUAAAUGUACUGAUAACAUUUUUGACAACAGCAAGAUAAAAGACUGAGAAGUGUUUUAGCAGACACCAAAGAAAGAAUACUAUUCAUAUUAUAACUGGCUGCAUUGCAUGAUUUAUAUAUCAUAAAGAUGGGCUACACAAUGAAGAGAAUCACUAACCUCCUCAAUCUCCCUGAGAACUUGCUCUGGCUCAGCGCCUGGGAGGUCAAUCUUAUUCACAACCUACAAGAAGAAGUAGAGUCCUUUUGCUUUAAACUCUGGUAUACAGACCAAAUUGUUGGACAGUACAUUAUUGUUUCCUGAAUUUUCAUAAAUCAGAUUCAAGAAAUAACCAAACGUUAAAUGAUAUCAUUAUUUAUCCUAGAGUAGCUAUUAUUUACUUCAUUAAGCAUCUUCUAUGAACUGAUAGAGUGAUGCUAACUAUUUCUACGACAUGGUUAGCCUAUUUGAAAGUUAACUUAUUGUAGACUCUGACUUCUAUUUAACUAAAUAAGGCAUUGACGUCACUGAAUAGUCUACAAAUGGUGACCAAACAAUGAUGAAUAAGCACCAAAUAUACUUGAAAAAAGUUAUCAAGCAUGAAUCCGUACUUACAGGAAUGAUUUCGAGGUUGUUUUCAAGAGCCAAAUAAACGUUGGCCAGUGUUUGCGCUUCCACACCCUAAACACCGCAUAUUAAGGGAAAGUAACUUAGAAAGUUUUGUACUAAUGUACUUGGUCACAUAAAAAAAGACUGUAACACACAUUCACAAAGCGCAAAACAGCUAAAGCAAAUACAGAUUCAAGGAGAAAUAAUCACCUGAGAUGCAUCCACAACAAGAAGAGCACCCUCACAUGCCGCAAGAGAUCGAGAAACCUAUUAACAAAUCCUUAGAUAAAGUCUAUGUUGGAAAGAACAAACGGAUUAGAAGAUUUGAAGUGUACCUCGUAAGAGAAAUCAACAUGACCAGGAGUAUCAAUCAAGUUGAGGCAAUAAGGAGUAUCCUCAUACACAUAACGCAUUCGAGCUGCCUGCAAACACACAUCAGAAAAUUUACAAAGUCAGAAACUUUACUCUUAGUUGAUAGAAACAAAAACUAAUAACAAAGAACCUGAAGCUUAAUGGUAAUGCCUCGUUCUCUUUCUAAAUCCAUAUUAUCAAGAAACUGCUCCUUCAUAUCUCUGUUCUGAACCGUACCAGUCACCUGAAGCAACUUAUCCGCCAACGUAGACUUCCCAUGAUCAAUAUGCGCUAUUAUACUAAAGUUCCUUACUUUCGAUAUCGGAACCUGCAAUUUCCCAAAAAGAUCCAAUUUUUAAAUCCGAAUUUGUCACACAUAGACGUAAAGGUUCUUUAUCUGACCUUCAAAAGACGGUCUUGGCCGGAGCGGGCGGAUAGUUUGGAGUUAGCGUCGGAGAGGUUGCUGCUCUGACUCUGAGGCUGAGUUCCGGCUGUGGCUUGGCAAAGUAUUUGUAGCUUUCGGUUAGAGUGGCGGUGGAGGGUGGAGAUGGGAAGGGAGGAGAGACGACGGAGAGGAGAUGAAGAAGAGGAAGAGGUUGGGGAUAAGAAGAAGGUUGGAGGAGAUAAGUCCAUAGCAUAAGCCAUGGCCAUUGGCACUCUCUGUGUCACUCUUCGGACCUCUUCUUAUGUUUUUGAGUGAAAAGUCUUCUUUUUCUUUCGUUUUGUCUUAAAGAGUUCUGAACCACAGGAUAUCCGGAUCAGACCAGAGACGAUCCGACACAAGCAGACCAAAAACUAAACGAAACAACUCAGUAAACUGUAAACCUUGUGAACUAGAUGUUCGGUUUGGUUUUGGUUUAGUUUUUGAUUUUUUGGUUCUGUAAUUAUACUAACGGUUUGGUUAUUCAUGAAAUUUGGUUUAAUUUUUGUUCAAUUAUUUUGAUUUUCGGUGGAAGUAAAAUUUUCUAGAGUUUUUACAUUUAUUAAAAAUAUAAUAAAUUUUUACAAUUUAUUUUUGAAUACACUUUCUAAUAACUGUUCGCUAAUAAGAUUUAAUCAAGGGCAAUUGUCAAUAAUAUCACAUUUUGAAGUUUAUGUCUCAAAAAUGACACUAGAAAAAGAAAGUCACAAAAAUGACAUUCAUUAAAGGGUAAAAUAUCCAUAAUACCAUUAGUUUAAAAUUAAAUAAACAAACAAAAAUAAAUAAAAUAAAAUAAAAAUAAAAAAAUGAAAAAAAAAUUUUUUUUUAUAGUUUCAGAUUAUAUGUUUUCAGAUUCGAAAAUUUUAUAAUUUUUUUUGAAUUUUUUUUUUUAGAUUAGACCACAAGGAGGAAAAUGACCAAAAUGUUUCAUUUAAUAGGUAAAAUGACCAUAAUACCCUAGAUAUAUAAAAAUGAAAAAAUAAAAAAUUAGUUUUAUAUUAUAUGUUUUCAAAUUCAAACUUUUUUAUAAAUUUUUUUUAUAUUUUUUUUCAAAUUUUCUUUUUGUAAUUCGAAAAUACUUUUUGAAACUAUUUUUAAAAUUUUUAUUUUUUAUUUUUUUUAUUUUAGUAUUUAUUUUUUAUAAAAUUAUAAACCCUAAUUCUAAAACCCCACCCCUUAACUCUAAACCCUAAGGUUUGGAUUAAUUAACCCAAGGGGUAUAAAUGUAUAUUUACCUCUCUAAUGAAACCUAUUUUUGUGACUUUGAGCUUUGAGUGCUAUUUUAGGAACAAAAAUUUGGUUUGGUGCUAUCCUAGUCUUUUUCUCUUUAAUCAAUUCAAAUAUUUAUAAUUAAUAUUUUAUUAAAAAUAUAGAAAAUUAAUUUUGUGAAACAAGAAUAAACUCUAGAAAAAAUUAUUUUCAAAAACGAAAUGAGUAGGUUUUAAUAAGAAAAAAAUAGGGUUCGGAAAUCCAAAAAUUUCAACUGGACAUAAAAAACGAAUGUUCCUACACAUCAAGAAAAAGAAAUUUAAAAAGCUUUUAUAUUUGUUCAAAAUUGUUGUGCAAUGAAUGAUUCUUCUGGUUCAAGACUGUUGUUGAACCAAUGAUCAAGCACUCUGGCAAAUAAUAUGAGACUUUUUAUUUCAGUGAUGAGUUGAUUAAGACUUUUUUAUUUCAGUGAUGAGUUGAUUAAUGUUUUUAAUCAUUGUCAUAAGAGAGGGAUCUUCACAUGCCUUAAGACUUAGUUUAAUCAAUCCCCUUUGAAAAGAAAAGUCUAAUAAACAUUUCCGCAGUUUUGGUUUUUCUCCUUCCUAUAAAUAAGAAGAGUGAGAAAAAGGGCAAAGAUUCGGUUUUUACUUCAGAAAAAUGUCGUGGUAAUAAGAGAAGAAGAUUUGACCAAACCAUCACCGCUUGUGACUGUCUGUCUCUUUUUUUUUAACUUUGAGAUUAAAGAAAAGAAAAAAAGUUUUUGACUUUUCUUCCUAAUCAAAGCUGCUUUGGCUUUGGCUUCAGUUUAAUGGUGGCCCAAUCGUUCUGCUGUUGAAUGAAUCAUUUUUUUUUAUUUUUUCUUCAUCAUACUACUACUCUCGGGGCCUUGACUUUCUUUUUCUUUUUAACAUUUAUUCUUCUCGUGUUCCUCUUUCCUUCUACUUGCUUUUGUCUUUUUGUCCUUUCACUGUUCCCUCUGUCGUGAAUCCCAAGCUCGCAACUUUUGACGUCUUUUCCUCUUCUGGGUAAGUUCUUCUUUUCUUCCUGUUCAUCUGCUAAAAACCCGAUCUUGCGUCUUAAGUCUAUGGAGAGAGAGAAGAGGGGUUUGUACAGUGUUUGACCUAAAGGUGUGAAAGUGUUUUCAGAACAUUGCUCCAAGGCGAUUGCAAUGUCUUGACACGGUUUUGUCUGAAAGAUUAUGUUUCCCUUUUGAGUCUUUGAUCUGACUUUUUUUUCUUUUACUUGUCCUUUCCGACAGGCUAUUACCCUCAAAAGUCUCGAGAUUUUUCUUAAACUGGUCUCAACUCGGUGGACAUGAUCUUUCAGACAGCUUUAGUUUGAGGUCUUUUUUGGAGAAGUUAUGGGGAGUUUUUGCUCCAAGAGCCUAGGAAUAAACUUUGGCAGUGAGUACUCAGGUUCAAGCGUGACUGAUGAUAUACGAGAACACGAUUUUGGCUACCAACAACAACAAGCAACUGGUCAAAACUGUUUAAUGGGUCCUCCUGGUACGAGACAGUGUAUGGUCAAAGACGCUAAAGAACAACCAAUCCAGCUGAAAGAUAUGUUCUCCUUCCGAGAAAGAGAAGCUGAAGAUAUCUACGAUGGGAUUCCGAGGUUACCAUCGUCUCAGAAACUCCGGCCUGCAAAAUCUACUCAAACUGCUGUUUCAAAGGUUAGUUUGGACGAAUUAGGAUCGGGGCUCUGAAACCAUAUUAAGUUAGAGGAUCUUUCAACCUAAAACCAACCUAAAACCAAACUGGUGAUAAGUGGAUUGGUCCCUUAAGGCUAAGAUAUGAGCUUUCAACUUAACUCAUGUCUUAGCGUUUAGGUUGUAGUGUUAAAAGGAUUGUCUAAGAGAUGUGGAUUGGAUUGUACGGAUCGGACUCUGAUACCAUAUUGAGUUAGAUGAGCUUCCAAGUUAUAAGUCGAUUGGUCCCAUCUAUCUUAUAUAUUACUUUUCCUUCCAACUUCCAAUAUACUUAGCAAAUGAAAUUGUCGCUUGAGUGGCAGGUUACAGAAGUAGGGAGAGCGGGGUUAGGUAAAGCGAAGGAUGUGUUGGAUACACUUGGGAGUAGCAUGACUGAUCUUAGCAGCGGUGGUUUUACUUCUGGAGUUGCAAUUAAAGGCAAUGAGCUUGGGAUCUUAGCCUUUGAAGUAGCAAACACAAUUGUCAAAAGCUCAAAUCUCAUUGACUCACUUUCUAAGCAGAACAUCAAGCAUUUGAAAGAAACUGUCAUUUAUUCCGAAGGUGUUCAGAAUCUUGUCUCUAAUGAUUUUGAUGAACUUCUCAGACUAGUUGCUUCUGAUAAGAGGUGAAAAUUUUCGAAAGUCAUAGACUGCUUUGUUAGCUCUUUUAAAAAAAAACAUUGCAAGAUAGUUAAAACUUGUUGUGUUUGCAGGCAGGAGCUGCAAGUUUUCUCAGGAGAAGUGGUUCGGUUUGGAAACAGAUCUAAAGACUUCCAGUGGCAUAAUCUACAGCGCUACUUUGACAAGUAACUUUAUAUAGAAUCUUUAUGUGUUAUAGCCUUUCUUUUUAGUUGUUUAAUUUUUUUUUUUUGUAUUCUCAGGAUUAUCAAAGAGUUAACCCCUCAAAGACAGUUGAAUGAAGACGCAGACUUAGUUGUUCGCCAACUGAUGGGUCUAGUGCAGUAUACUUCUGUGAGCGAAUACUUUCUUGCUACUUUAGUAGCUAUGUGUCAUAUUAAAAUGUCAUGAUGUCACUCAGACAUGACUCUUUUUGGUUCAGGAACUAUACCAAGAGCUUCAAGUAUUGGAUAGAUUGGAGAAAGACUAUGAUCAAAAGCGCCGAGAAGAAGAGAACUCAGCUAGCAGCAGUAAAGGUGAUGGCCUUGCAAUCUUAAAAACGGAGCUCAAGUCCCAGAGAAAGGUAGUGAAAAGCUUAAAGAAAAAGUCCUUGUGGUCAAGAGGUCAUGAAGAGGUACUACUACUUCUUUGUCAUUUAAAUUGCAUUUCACAAAAUAAAAUACAGCCAAAAACUAACCUAGAUUAUUGUGGUGUGUUCAUCUUAACGGCUGGUUUGUAUUACAGGUGAUGGAGAAGCUAGUAGACAUUGUUCACUUCUUGUUGCUAGAGAUUCAUAACAUCUUUGGUGGUGCUGGUAUGUAAGUUCCUCCUUUAUGUACUUUCCACCAUGUGCUACUGAGCAUGUAUCCAAAGCUUUUGAAUGUUAUCUUAUUGCUCAGAUGAUCAACCAGCGAAGAAAGGAGCAACGGAUCAUGAUAGAAGAUUGGGACCUGCUGGUCUUGCUUUACAUUAUGCAAAUAUAAUUAUGCAGAUUGAUACACUUGUGAGUGCUCAAAACAAUAGCCUUACUUCAUUUGGUUUUGUUGGUUCUAAUGUGUGUUUUGAUGGGUAUAGGUCGCUCGUGCAAGCUCUAUAACUUCAAAUGCAAGGGAUUCUCUAUACCAAAGCUUGCCACCUGAUAUAAAACUGGCUCUCCGUUCCAAGAUUAAGUCCUUCAACGUCGAUAAAGAGGUAAUGUCUUCUUGUCUACACUCUCUGAUCUACAAAACUGAAGAAAGAAUGUGCUCUUAUGUUUCUCCUUACAGCUUUCAGUGACACAAAUUAAGGACGAGAUGGAGAGGACACUGCAUUGGCUUGUCCCUAUUGCAGCCAACACAACCAAGUAAGAAGCCUGACCAUUCUUUCGUUACCUUGACUUAACAUUAUGGCUAAAGAUUGUUGAAUGGGUUGUUCAUUGCAGAGCUCAUCAUGGUUUCGGUUGGGUUGGAGAGUGGGCAAAUACAGGGUGAGUGGUUGAAUGAAAAUGAGACACUGCAACUGCUCUCUGCUUGCAUGUUUUUUCAAUGUUUUUGUUUUUACCUUUUCAGGAGUGACUUCACUAGUAAGCCUAGUGGUGGAGAGAUACUACGAAUCGAAACACUUUACCACGCUAGUAAAGAAAAGACAGAGAUCUACAUUCUUGGACAGAUCAUUUGGUUACAGCAUUUGGUUACAAAAGCAAAGAGUGAAGCACGUGGAGGUCCUAAGCUUUCUUCUAUCAAGUCUAGGAACCAGCAAUUGGUAUCUGAACCACUCAGUGUCCCGUUAGUAACAGAGGAGGAACAAAAGAUGUUAGAGGAGGCGAGCAUGAGGAGGAAGAGGGGAACUCCAUGUGUUAGCAAGAGUCAUGAUUUUGAUUCAGAGUACUCGCGUGUGAGGAAGUGUGACCCUCUGAGCAGAAGCAGUGAGUAUUUUCGUGGAGUGAGAAGAAGCAAAUCAGCUGCUGUGAAGAGGUUUUCUUCAGGUUUUCCAUUUCUUGAUUUUGUUAUCGAUAAGGAGAAGGCGUUGGAUGUUAUUGAUCGUGUUGAUGUGCCGAGAGAUUACAGAGCGUUGUUGAAAGAAGGUAGCUUAAGCUUCUAAUGGAGUGUGGUUGAGGCCAAUGUACAAAACUGGCUUCUGGUUCAUGUGUUGGGUUGUACAUAAGAGCAUAAGAGAAUGCUGUUGGAAGAAGCUGUUUAUGCGACAUGUUAGAUCAUUUACAAUAUUUUAUUCAAUAUAGUGGUACACUUUUCAGAAAGUUUCAAAUAGCGAUGAUGAUUAAAUGACUUGCACCAUUCUCUAAACGCAGUAAGAGACUAACAUCAAGUAAUCAUAAUCAUACAUUGAAAUUAGAAUCUGCAAGACUUGAAACAUUUAUUUCAACAAGUAAAGUAGAGGCAAAAGAACCAAAAAUUCGAGUAAUAGUGAAUAAAUAUGUUCAACAUCAUCUCGCAGCUCUUACAAAAAAAAUGAUGUGAAUCGCAAUGCAUUAGCAGCGCCACCUUAAAGCAUAGUUUUUUUUUCGUUAUUGUCAACAAAAGAAGAAAAUGAGAAGAGGGCAUAUCCAAAAGAGAUGAAUCAAGCACUUAAGCUGCUGCCUCCUUGGAGAUCUUCUCUGCUUUCGCAACCACCUCGUCAAUGCCACCAACCAUGUAAAAUGAUUGUUCAGGAAGAUCAUCGUACUUACCAUCGAGCAAACCCUGCAACAAUUUACAAUUCAUAUUAGUUCAAAUAUAGCAAAACAAAGAUGUAGUGAAGAAGAAAGUCAUAUGUGCAUUAUAUACCUGGAAACUGUUGAUGUUUUCCUUAAGGUCAACGUAUUUUCCAGGGGCACCCGUGAAGAUCUCAGCAACAUGGAAUGGUUGACUCAAGAAUCUCUGGAUCUUACGGGCACGGGCAACGGUCAGCUUGUCAUCUUCACUUAGCUCAUCCAUUCCCAAAAUGGCAAUAAUAUCUUGCAAGUUCUUGUAGUUCUGCAACACUUUCUGCACACCACGAGCAGUGUUGUAGUGCUCCUCACCAAGAAUGUGAGGCGAGAGCAUACGGGAUGUUGAAUCCAGAGGAUCCACAGCAGGAUAGAUACCAAGCUCGGAAAUCUUCACAUGGGAAAGAGGAAAGUAUCUUUAUAAGGAUUACACAGAGUAUUUUUGAAAAGACGCAUCAGAAGGAGACAAGUUCAGACCUGUCUAGACAGCACGGUUGUGGCGUCUAAAUGAGCAAAGGUUGUGGCAGGAGCAGGAUCUGUCAAAUCAUCAGCAGGGACAUAGAUGGCUUGGACAGAGGUGAUAGAACCUUUCUUGGUGGUUGUGAUUCUCUCUUGAAGAGCCCCAAGAUCGGAAGCAAGAGUUGGCUGGUAACCCACAGCAGAUGGGAUACGACCAAGCAAAGCAGACACUUCAGAGUUGGCCUUCACAAGAGAGUAUACUGAGUUAAUUACAACUUCUUUAUCAAACUACAGGUACAGAGAAAUAGAGCAAACGACAAGGCUCACCUGAGUGAAACGGAAAAUGUUGUCAAUGAAAAGCAACACAUCUUGGCCCUCAGCAUCACGGAAAUACUCAGCAACAGUCAAACCAGUAAGUCCAACACGGGCACGGGCACCCGGGGGCUCGUUCAUUUGUCCAUACACAAGAGCACAUUUGCUCUCAGACUGUUAGAGAGGAAAAACAAAGAGAACUCAGCAACAAAGAAUAGGAAAAGAAUAGGUGAAGAAUAAUCCAAAUAAUUUGAAAACCUGCUUCUCGCCUAGCUUGAUGACACCACUCUCAAUCAUUUCUCUGUACAAGUCAUUCCCUUCACGAGUUCUUUCUCCCACACCAGCAAACACGGAGAAACCACCUUCAUCACAAGAUACCAGUUAAUAACUAAAAUUAGAGCCCCAUAGGGCAAACUACUUAGGGAAAUCAUGAGAAUACAAAUAUACAAACCAUGAGCUUUGGCGACAUUGUUAAUCAGUUCCAUAAUGAGCACUGUCUUCCCAACACCAGCACCACCAAAGAGCCCAAUCUUUCCUCCUCUCUGGUAAGGAGCAAGCAGAUCAACAACCUGGAAUGAAAAGCAACAAACUUUAGCUUGUAACAUGAACAACAACACGUGUAGCCUAUAAUAACAAGCCCAAAAUCUACCUUAAUACCAGUGGCAAGAAUCUCUUGCCCAGUAGCUAGAUCAACCAAAGCUGGAGCAUCUCUGUGAAUAGGUAGGUAGUGCUCAGUCUCUACGCAACCGCAAAAAAAAAACACAUUAUCAUGACAUUUUCACUGAAAUUAAAACACUGAUCAAAAGUAUCUCAAAAACACUUACUAAUCUCGCCUCUCUCAUCAAUGGGUUCUCCAAGAACAUUCAUAAUACGUCCAAGAGUAGCUCUCCCAACAGGAACCUUAUAAAGAGAAAACAAAAUAAAUGAUUUAAACACUAAGUUCCUUGUAAAUGAAUAUACUUUAGUGUAUCUUCACAAAGUCAACAUAGAAUUUAACAGAUCUAAACACGUGGAAACUACUUACGGUGAUCGGAGCUCCCGUGUUGAGCACGCGCCUUCCACGAACGAGACCCUCAGUACCAUCCAUAGCAAUAGUCCUAACAACAUUCUGACCCAAGUGAUGAGACACCUCAAGCACCAGCCUCGUGGGAUGAUCCUGCACCUCGAGUGACGUCAUGAUCGGAGGCAACCCUUCCUGAUCUUCGAACCUCACAUCCACAAUGGCUCCGAUCACCUGGCAAACCUUCCCGAUCGCGCCUUUCCCGCCGUAAUCGUAACUCUUCUUCUUCCCCUCAUCCUUAGCUGGACCAGCCGCAGCUGAAUUAGCCGGCGAGGAGGUUGAAUACUCAGCGACGCGUCCGAGGAUGUCGCCGAAAGGAGCUGCGCGGCGAGCUGGGGAAGGAGAGGGGAGCCUAGGGUUGCGGCUUCCGAAUUUGGCGGCGGAUCUGGCGGAGGAUGAACGGAGAAGCGACGAUAAGACUCUCCGAGACGCCAUUAGUGUGAAAGAGGAAAUGGCUAGGGUAACUACAGUACCUGGAAUCUAUAAGAUGGUGUGGUUCUGUUUUAGGAAACUUCCAUCGUUAUUGGGCUUCUGUAAUGCGCUUAUUUGGGCCUAAAUCAUGCUUUGGAGAAAAAGACUGAUGUACAAAUAAUAUUUAUGCUAAAUAAUAUUUAUGCACUUUAAAAGCGCCAGAUUGAAUUUUUGAUUGAAAAUUGUAUUGUCUAUAAAAUGUAUAAUAAUUAUACAAUAUCUGUGAAUUUAAAGAUAUAUUAUGUUUCUAUUUUGUGUAAACGAUUUUAUAUAGUUGGCUAACAUUAUAGGAUUCUAAACUGUUAGAAUACGUGGUGUUUGUUUGAAUUUGUAUCCUGUAAAUACAGUGUGAUUAUUAAUAUUUUUGUGAUCGUUAAUAUUCUAAAUAAACAACCUUCUAAGUUUUUUUUGGGUAAAAAAUAGAAGAAAGUUGAAAGUGUUUCUUAACAUUUACACCCGAAAAAAUAAGUGAAUAAUUUUUUUUAAAAAAAAAUCUCCAUUUAAAAUAGUAUGAAAAUCGAUCAAUGAAAUGAUUUUCAAAAUUUCACCCGAUAGUGUAGUGUAUUACUUCCAACUUGGAAGGUUGGUAAUUCUUAAUUUCUCAUGAUAUCCCAAUUUUCUUCAUAUCUCUAUAAUUUUACAAGAAAUUUUAUUUAUCCUUAUUAUGUGAUUAAUAAAAUCUGUGCAGAUACAUUUUAGGAAUAUGGGAUAUUGUGUACAAAUACGUACCUAAGAGUUUAAUUAUUUGUUGUUCAAAAAAAAAGUUUAAUUAUUUAUGUGAAAACAGUAGGGGUGAAAGAUUUGAAUAAGAUUGUGAAUUUGUAAAAAAUAUUUUUUUCCAAGUGAUGAGAAUAUUUAAUUGGUUAUUUGGAUUCGCAAUUAGACAUGUUUGUUAUCGGUAAAUAUUAUUUUAAUAAUAUUGAUGACUCAUAAAUAUUUCUGCGAAGAAUAGUUGUGAUUCUUUUUGUUUUUGACAAAAAAAUAGUUGUGAUUCAUUUGUUAAUGAGUUGCUAAAAUAUUGGACUAAUUGAUUGGCCUGCAAAAAGGUGAAUUGUUAGAAAAUAAUAACUUUGUUAGUGAUAAAUAAAAGAUAAUGACACAAGUGUAAUUUUUAGCAAAAACCAAGGGAACCUAUAAAAAGGUUUUUGUUUUAAAAUUAUAGAUAAGUAGAUAAAUUUUGGUAGGUUAAAGGUUGAUUGGAAGAUCAUGCCAAACACACUGUUUAAAGAAACUAGCGUUAUUAAAUUGAAAUCUCUAAAAUAGCUAACACAUACAAAUUUCAUAUACUGAUAUACAUUCAUUUGUAAAUAUGCCGAAAGAAGAACUGAUUGAUCUCACAAUUCAAGCUUAUUAGUAUCACUUAUUGUUAAAUUGAACCUAUUUCCAACAAAAAAAAAGAAUAAGAAAGAAAGUGACAAAAUAUUUUGAGAAAAUAAAAAACUAUAUUUCAUAGAUUUUUCCGUAAAAAUUAAUUUUUAAAUCACAAUUGAUCAUUUUUAUGAUAUUCAAGAAUAAACAUCAUUAAUAUUGACCAUGAAUAUGUAAGACUGUGUAAUUAACAAAUACUAUAUGUACAAGCACUGUACAACUGUUUUAUGUGUAUACUAGUUUCUAUUUAUUGUUUAGAUUUGAACAUUGUUUUCUUUGAGUAUAAACGGUCAUAAAAUUUCAAAUGUCACAAGCUUAAAACCAAUAAUAGCCACAAAAAUAAGGUAAACAAGUGGGUUUGAUAGAUUUGAACAUUGUUUUCUGUGGUCUGUUAAAUUUUUAUUAAAAGACAAAAGAUGACCAAUCAUAUAAUCAGCUAUUUGAAGAACUAAAUUUAUACAUUUAACUUUUGUGAAAUUAAUCUUUUAAUUAAACACAUCAAACUAAUUUCCAAAAGCAUUUAAAAUGCUUUAAAUCUGAUUGAGAGCUAGCACCUUAGGAGGUUUUUCGGAAAUUUAAUUGAAUUUUCACUAUUCAUUUCAAACUUAAAUGAAAUCAUUCUCUUUAAUUUAAAUAAGACAUAACCUGAAAAGCCAUUUAAUCCGCAUAAAGCGCUAACAAUCUUAUGUGAUGUUUUUCUCUUUUUUAUUUUAAUCUAAAUGUUAAACUUUAUAUCAAUUUCUUGUUUUUUUUAGUGUUGUGGAGCAAAUCUUAUUAAAAUGAGCUAAUAUUAAAUAGAUGAGAGAAUUUAACUCUUAGGAGAUAGAAACCAAAAAUACAACUCAAUCAUGAGACAUUUUCUUCCUAUGGAUCCAAACAUCUCUUUAAGGUAUUCCCAAAAACACCAAUCUAAUCCGAUACUUGGUACAAUCAACUCUAUAAACACUUUGCACUCUUCUAUUAGUUCUAACUUUAUUUAUAGUUUAAAUAUUAAUUAACUAAUUAUUUAAAGAAAAAUGAUAAUUAUUAUUCCAUAUAUUCCACUUUAUUUGGUGUUUAAAGAAUUUUUUUGUUGCAAAUUAAGUGAUGUUUUCAAUAUUCUAGAUGAAAAUUUAAUGUACUUUGAUAUUUUUGACCAAUUACAUAAUAUUGCAUUUUUCUAAUUGGUUGAAUUAAUUUUAUUUAUCAAUAUUUUUAUGUAACCAAAGUACCUUUUAUAAUAGUUAACAUUUUUACAAAUCUUUAUGCAUUAAUUAAUCUUUAAAAUCAAGUGGGGAGUAAAUUAGAAGAGAUGGAUAAUUCCACAGCGUUGAUUUAAUUGUUACGGACACUAACAUGAAAACCAAAGAAGUCGAAUUUUCUUAAUAAUUUAAUUGUUAGGCCCAUAAAAGCCCAUUUGAAAAGCCCACCAGAAACAACAACGGAAGCAUCAGAUUCAGGUUCUGUAAUUACCCUAAGCAUAUUCUCUCUCUCUCUCUCUCUCUCACAUACACACUAAUGGCGUCUCGGAGAGUCUUAUCAACGCUUCUCCGUUCAUCCUCCGGCAGAUCCGCCGCCAAAUUCGGAAGCCGCAACCCUAGGCUCCCCUCUCCUUCCCCAGCUCGCCGCGCAGCUCCUUUCGGCGACAUCCUCGGACGCGUCGCCGAGUACUCGACCUCUUCGCCGGCUAAUUCAGCUGCGGCGGCUCCAGCUAAGGAUGAGGGGAAGAAGAAGAGUUACGAUUACGGCGGGAAAGGCGCGAUCGGGAAGGUGUGCCAGGUGAUCGGAGCCAUUGUGGAUGUGAGAUUCGAAGAUCAGGAAGGGUUGCCUCCGAUCAUGACGUCGCUCGAGGUGCAGGAUCACCCCACGAGGCUGGUGCUUGAGGUGUCUCAUCACUUGGGUCAGAAUGUUGUGAGGACUAUUGCUAUGGAUGGUACUGAGGGUCUCGUUCGUGGAAGGCGCGUGCUCAACACGGGAGCUCCGAUCACUGUAAGUAGUUUAGAUCUGUUAAUUCGAUGUUGACUUUGUGAAGAUACACUAAAGUAUAUUCAUUUACAAAGGAAUCAUUUUGUGGAAUGUGGGAUGACUAAUUAUUUAUUUUGUUUUCACUUUAUAAGGUUCCUGUUGGGAGAGCUACUCUUGGACGUAUUAUGAAUGUUCUUGGGGAACCUAUUGAUGAGAGAGGCGAGAUUAGUAAGUGUUUUUGAGAUACUUUUGAUCAAUGUCUUGUGUUUAGUGAACCUGUUAUGAUAAUUUGAUUUUGCUGUUGUGUAGAGACUGAGCACUACCUACCUAUUCACAGAGAUGCUCCAGCUUUGGUUGAUCUAGCUACUGGGCAAGAGAUCCUUGCCACUGGUAUUAAGGUAGAUUUUGGGCUUGUUCCUAUAGGUUACACGUGUUGUUGUUCAUGUUACGAGCUUAAGUUUGUUGCUUUCUUUGCAGGUUGUUGAUCUGCUUGCUCCUUACCAAAGAGGAGGAAAGAUUGGGCUCUUUGGUGGUGCGGGUGUUGGGAAGACUGUGCUCAUUAUGGAACUCAUUAACAAUGUCGCCAAAGCUCAUGGUUUGCAUUCUCAUGGUUUCCCCAAGUAGUUUGUGCUCCAGCUUUGGUUUAUUAAUUGGUACUUCUUCGGAUGAACAGGUGGUUUCUCCGUGUUUGCUGGUGUUGGAGAAAGAACCCGUGAAGGCAAUGACUUGUACAGAGAAAUGAUUGAGAGUGGUGUCAUCAAGCUAGGCGAGAAGCAGGUUUUCAAAUAAUUUUGAUUAGUCUUCACCUUCCUUUUCCUGUAAAUGGCAUUUGAUUGAUCUUUGUUUCUGAGCUCUUUGCUUUCCCAUCUAACAGUCUGAGAGCAAAUGUGCUCUUGUGUAUGGACAAAUGAACGAGCCCCCGGGUGCUCGUGCCCGUGUUGGACUUACUGGUUUGACCGUUGCCGAGUAUUUCCGUGAUGCUGAGGGCCAAGAUGUGUUGCUUUUCAUUGACAACAUUUUCCGAUUCACUCAGGUGAGCUAUGUUGUUUGUUUUAUCUAUCAGCGCCUGUGUGCCAUACAUUGUGAUAAAGAGAGUUGUGAAUUUAACUGAUUCUACCCUUCUGUGUAGGCCAACUCUGAAGUCUCUGCUUUACUUGGUCGUAUCCCAUCUGCUGUGGGUUACCAGCCAACUCUGGCUUCCGAUCUUGGUGCUCUUCAAGAGAGAAUCACAACCACCAAGAAAGGUUCCAUCACCUCUGUCCAAGCCAUCUAUGUCCCUGCUGAUGAUUUGACAGAUCCUGCUCCUGCCACAACCUUUGCUCAUUUAGACGCCACAACUGUGUUGUCUAGACAGGUGUGAACUUGUCUCCUUCUGAUGCUUCUUUGAAUAAUAUAUUGAUACUUUGUCUUUCCCAUGUGAAGAUUUCCGAGCUUGGUAUCUAUCCUGCUGUGGAUCCUCUGGAUUCAACAUCCCGUAUGCUCUCGCCUCACAUUCUGGGUGAGGAGCACUACAACACUGCUCGUGGUGUGCAGAAAGUGUUGCAGAACUACAAGAACUUGCAAGAUAUUAUUGCCAUUUUGGGAAUGGAUGAGCUAAGUGAAGAUGACAAGCUGACUGUUGCCCGUGCCCGUAAGAUCCAGAGAUUCUUGAGUCAACCUUUCCAUGUUGCUGAGAUCUUCACCGGUGCCCCUGGAAAAUACGUUGACCUUAAGGAAAACAUCAACAGUUUCCAGGUACAUAUCACUUUCUUUCCUCCUACAUCAUUGUUUUGCUACAUAUGAACUCAUUUGAACUGUCAACUGUUGUAGGGUUUGCUUGAUGGCAAGUACGAUGAUCUUCCUGAACAAUCAUUUUACAUGGUUGGUGGCAUUGACGAGGUGGUUGCGAAAGCAGAGAAGAUCUCCAAGGAGGCAGCAGCUUAAGGGCUUUGAUUCAUCUCUUCUACUCUUCUUCUUUUGUUGACAAUAACGAAACAAACAAAACUAAAAACCGAUGCUUUUGUCUGAGUGUGAGGGAUCAAUACCGAGAAAACAAAUUUUAUUCGUUGGAGUUUUUGCCUUGCAAUAAAGGAGACGAGUGUUAUGUUUUUCAUCUGUAUUUUAUUAGCUUAGUUAUGUUACUUCCCAUUGCUUCUGACUGCCAACUCCUUGUUCCUUGUAAUAAUAAAAUACAUAACAAUAAUACCAAAACACUACUCACCGUCUUGUAAUGAUUAUAUUACUUUCUUCUUUUGUUCUUCUGUCACUACAUAUUAUUCUUACAGGUACACUAGUUUCUCCCUCAAGAGUUGAAGAAUUUAUAUAUGUAGUAUAUUAUUCUUACAAAUAGAGAUCCAUUAGUUUCUUUUGAUUAUGAUGUACAAAACAUUAAGAAAGCAUAAAGAAACAAAAACAUAUGUAUAUGUAUAUGAAAUGUAUUCCAUGGAGUCUUCAAAAAUGUUCGAGAACUGCUCCUGUAUGAUUAAAGCCACAAGAUAUAUGCACUGCUCUUACAUUCUUUCCCAGGUUCACCAUUGCUGGUAUCGCAUAGUCUACAUCGCUACCAUGUCCCUGCAGUUAAACAUACCAUAACAUUUAUUCAAUUUGAUGCCAUGUCUCAUGGAUUCUUUAGAUAGUAUAGCAAAAUGAACCAAGAACUGAAAUGAUGUCGCAUUCACAUAAGCUAAUUGUUUCAAAGAUUUGAUCGAUAACAAAGAUGAUGAAACAAACCAGUUGUCCACCGGAGGAGUGUCCGUCAUCAGAGAAAGUGCCGUGAGAACCUCCCCAGCCCCAGGUAAAGACUUUGUUAUCUGCAAACACGAUUCAGAAAUGAAUUGAAUAACUUGCAUAAUCAAAAUGGAUAAAAAAUGUUUUACCUGAAAUGGCUGCAGUGUGCUUCCACCCACAAGAUACAUGAGUUACAGUUGAUUCCAAGAAAGGACCUUCGACUCUCACAGGGGAGUGUGAGACAUAUGUUGACCUGAAACAAAUUUAAGAUAAAACUGAAUACAUGUACAGUUGCAGAUCUUAUGAGGAAACAUACUAAUCAAUUAGGAAAUGACUUACUCUGUGCCAAGGCACCCAUUUUCGUUUGAACCCCAAGUGUAUAGUUCCCCACCUCCUUACAAAAACGAAGGAAACAACAGAGACUGAGUUCUUACCAAAAAGGUACUAAAGAAUAAUAGAGAAUUUACUUGUGACAACACAUGUGUGGUAACCACCACAUGCAACUUCUUCUGCGUAUGGCACUUCACUGAUAAUAGAUGGUGUUGUAGCAUUCCUUACUCCUCCAAAUCCCUAUAAAUUCGCACCAUAAAUAACUAUAAUGUAACCAUAGUUAGUCUAGAAAAAAAGACAUUUUAUUUACCAUCUUAUUUAUAGAUCUCUCUCCGAACAUGAAAGUGAUAAGCUUCAUUAUCGUUACGUGAGACAGAGGAAGAACAGAGGAGGAGAGAGAGGGACGCGGGAAAAGGAAGAAGAAUUGAAUACGAAGGAAGACUCUGGGGCGUCUAGAGGGUCUUGAGACAGGAAAAGAUUGGAAGACUCGGAUGGACAGAGAAGGUUUGCCGUUAUGUUCGUUGAGUAGCUUUAAAUACGAGCCUGCGAGCUCAUUUGUGGGUAGCUUUGUAUUUUGGAUUAGAGACGAUAGUCUUGAGGAGAUCUCGUCUGGGUUAAGCCAGCGAGUCUCGGUUGAUUCACAAUACAAAGUGUAAACACCUUUUCAUCAUAUCAAUAAAAAUCAUCUUUCGUUGUGUUCGUGAUCGAGUUUGUAGAGAGACCUGACGAUCAAACUCUAUCAAUUGGUGCGGUGAGCAGCUCGCGAUCAUUUCGAUGGAGGAAUCUGAGGGAAGAAUCGAGAAUCUGGAGCAGGCGGGACGAGAGACGGAGAAGACGGUGAAGGUGAUCUACGAAGGGUGGAGGAAGCUUACGGAGGCUAAUACACAAUCCGAUGUCCGUUUUGGUGAAGUGGAGUCGCGAUUGAGCUCCGUUGAGUUUCAGUUACAGAAGAUCGCCGCCGCAAUCGAUCGCAUCGAGUCGAAUACGGCGCCAUCAAAGCCACAUGGCAAAGACGUAGCGGAAUCAUCCGAUCAUCAGGUACAAGAAUCUAUAACUGAAACGGAGAAUUUUCCGUCAGGUUAUCGGCGAGGUACUGAUAUGUUUGCGAGUAGGGAGAGCUUGUUGAAGAAGAUUGAGUUACCAACCUUUGAUGGAUUGAUGCCAUAUUGUUGGAUUCGUAAUGUCGAACGUUAUUUUCGCGCGGCAAAGUAUAGUUCACAAGAAAAGCUCGAAUUGGUGGCUUUGAGCUUGACUGGAGAAGUAUUGAAUUGGUAUCUGUGGGAGGCUGAAGAGGAGAAGUUCGAGAGCUGGACUCAGUUUAAGCAACGUAUGCUAGAACGCUUUGCAGAGUCCAUUGAUGAUGAGCCUCGCAACAAACUAUGUGCUCUGCGUCAGACUGGUUCUGUACGUCAAUAUGUCCGUGAGUUUGAAGAGCUGAUUACUCAGGUGAAGGGCAUUGAUGAACCAAAUCUGAUAAGCAAGUUUUACACAGGCCUGAAACAGGAGAUGAAGGAAGUUAUCAAGCUUAAGGAACCAAAAGGUCUGCGUAAUCAUAUCGCAGCAGUCGUCAAAAUGGAGAGUAGUACCUUCUGUCAAGUUAUGGGUGAACGUGUGAAACCAAGGCAGACGGAUCACUAUGCUCCACAACACAAACAGCAUCGACCUAACAACUAUAACCAACGUAACCUGCAGCCACUUGCUGACGACAAGAGUAAGCAACUGGAACCGCAAAAGAACUUACCUCCGAGACCACGAUUACACUUAACUCCAGCUGAAUUAGCUGAGUUGAAGAGGCUAAAGCUGUGUUUUAAAUGUAAGACGAGCUGGUUCCGAGGUCAUGUGUGUGCGAAUGCAGAGUUAAAAAUCUUGAUGCUGGCUGAGGAUAUAGAAGUAGAAGUGUUACAAGAUACAUAUAACGAAGAGGAGGAAGGGGAAGAUAAAAACAUGGAGGAGUUGCAGUCACCGCAAAUGAUGGAGAUUUCACUCAACGCUUAUAUGGGGAUUGACUCUCCUGCAACAACAAAGCUGAGAGGGUUGUUAGCUGGUACUAAAGUGGUGGUGUUAAUAGACAGUGGUGCCACACAUAAUUUUGUCACACCUCAGAUAGCAGCGAAGGCAGAACUCUUAUUCCAAGCGAACGCAAAAAUGCAAGUGAUCUUGGGAAAUGGCGUUUCUAUUCAUGCGGGAGGAGUCUGCAACAAUGUUAAUUUGGAGUUGCAGGGACUUAACUUUACAAUUGAUUGUAUCACUCUGGACCUUGGCAAAGUGGAUGUAGUGCUAGGAGUUCAGUGGUUGAGGACUCUUGGUACAUGUGAGAUCGAUUGGCUUUCUCAGGAGUGGAGCUUCUGGUAUGAAGGCAAGAAAGCGAGUUUAACUGGUGAACAAGAUCUCCAUCAGAUGACAACGUCAUUACAAAGUAUUGCUCAAGAAGACAGUCAAUGGGUGGUACCUAAUGAAGCUUGGCUCUGUGAAAUGACUACUACCGAUCAGACAACACAAGAUCAGUCUCCGGCAGUGUCAAAAGUGUUGCAGGAUUACGAGCACAUUUUCGCUAAACCGCAGUCUCUUCCCCCAUUCAGAGGACGAGAGCAUGCAGUAACGCUUAAGGAAGGAACUACUGCCAUAAAUGUUCGACCUUACCGUUACCCUCAAGCACAUAAGGAAGCAAUGACUGAGAUGGUGAACGAGAUGUUGGAAAAAGGUCUGAUCAGGUUAAGUCGAAGCCCUUUUUCAAGCCCUGUCUUGUUGGUGAAGAAACAAGACAAAUCUUGGCGUUUUUGUGUGGACUACCGUGCGCUCAACCAGGCAACCAUAGCAGACAAGUAUCCUAUCCCUAUGAUAGACCAACUACUCGAUCAACUUCAUGGAGCUCGAGUGUUCUCUAAGAUGGAUCUAACUGCAGGGUUUCAUCAGAUCAGAAUGGAGGAGAAGGACAUUCCUAAGACUGCUUUUCGAACCCACGAUGGUCAUUAUGAGUUUUUAGUAAUGCCAUUCGGCUUAACUAAUGCUCCCUCUACCUUCCAGUCACUGAUGAACGAUCUGUUCCGUCCUUUCCUUAAUAAGUUUGUGCUGGUAUUCUUUGAUGAUGUGUUGAUCUACAGCAAGAACGAAGAGGAACAUGUUCAUCACUUGGAGGCAGUUCUCAAAGUGUUCGAGAAACAUCAGCUCUUCGCAAAUAAGAAGAAGUGCUUGUUUGCUCAGGAGAAAGUCGAAUACUUAGGACAUGUCAUUUCAGCUGAAGGAGUUGCUACUGAUCCUAAAAAGACAGAAGCUAUGAGAACUUGGCCUACUCCUAAGAACAUCAAACAGCUUCGUGGUUUUUUGGGGCUAACUGGGUACUACAGACGGUUUGUACUAGGGUAUGGUUCUUUGGCCCGUGCUCUUACUGAAUUGCUAAAGAUUGACAAGUUCGAGUGGUCUCCGUUCGCUCAAACAGCAUUCGAUAACUUGAAAACAGCGAUGCUUACGGCACCGGUUUUGGCCUUGCCGGAUUUUACGCAAACGUUUGUAGUUGAGUGUGAUGCUUCAGGGUUUGGGAUUGGUGCAGUAUUGAUGCAACAGGGUCGUCCGAUUGCUUAUUUUAGCCACGGCUUGACACCUCGUGAACAGCUGAAACCGAUUUAUGAAAGAGAGCUUAUGGCUGUGGUCUUGGCUAUUCGCAAAUGGAAGCAUUAUCUACUAGGACGUCGCUUUGUGGUUCACACAGAUCAGAAGUCUCUUAAGUUUCUAUUAGAGCAACGUGAAGUCAACAUGGAGUAUCAGAAAUGGUUGAUCAAACUAUUGGGGUAUGAGUUUGAUAUUAUCUACAAACCGGGGAUUCAGAACAAAGCAGCAGAUGGUCUUUCAAGGAUUGAGCAUUCUUCACUACAGCUAUGCUCUUCAACGUUGCUAGCAGUCACGGUACCUGCUUCUCUUCAGUUUCAAGAUCUGCUUGCAGAAAUUGCAGCAUCGCCUGAGAUUCAGCUGCUAUUACAGAGAGUUCAAGAGGGUGAUCCAAGCUUGAAACAUUAUUCAGAAAAGGGAGGGAAAUUACUAUACAAGAAUCGCUUAGUGAUUCCACAUGACUCUCCACAUGUUACUACUAUUUUGAAGGAGUGUCACGAUGGGUUACAAGGGGGCCAUUCGGGUGUUCUCAAGACAGUUAAGAGGAUACAACGCUGGUUCCAUUGGACGGGUUUACUAAAGACAGUUCAGAAGUAUGUUGCUGGUUGUCACAUUUGUCAAACACAUAAGUAUUCAACGCUGAACCCAGCAGGCUUACUUCAGCCGCUUCCUAUUCCGGUGGCUGUCUGGGAGGAUUUGUCGAUGGAUUUUGUUGAGGGUUUACCAACUUCUUUUGGGUAUAACGUCAUCUUUGUGGUGGUUGAUCGACUGAGUAAAUACUCGCAUUUCAUUGGUCUCAAACACCCUUUUCAGGCGAUUGAUGUGGCAAAGAAAUUUAUUGGAGAGGUGGUGCGUCUGCACGGGUUUCCUCGAUCUAUUGUAUCUGAUCGUGACAAGAUUUUCUUGAGUUCCUUUUGGAAGGAGCUGUUCCGUUUAUCUGAGACAUCAUUGAAGUUCAGCACGGCUUUCCACCCUCAGACAGACGGUCAGACUGAGGUUCUCAAUCGUUGUAUGGAAACUUAUCUUCGGUGUUUUGCUUCAUCACACCCACGAACUUGGUUCAAGUUUCUUUCUUGGGCUGAACUGUGGUACAACACGUCAUACCAUACAUCCUUGAAAACUAGUCCUUUUCGAGUUGUCUAUGGACGUGAACCUCCAGCAUUAUUGCAGUAUGAGUCAGGAUCAACUACAAAUGCGAACUUGGAGAAUAUGUUAGUUGAGCGUGAUGCAAUGUUGGUCAGUAUCAAAGCCCAUUUGGUUCAUGCGCAACAACUGAUGAAGAACAACGCUGACAAACACAGAAGAGAUGUGGUGUUUUCAGUAGGAGAAAUGGUCUAUCUGAAACUGCGACCAUACAGGCAACAAUCCGUAGCUCGACGAGUUUGUCAGAAGCUUUCAGCUAAGUACUUUGGACCGUACGAAGUGCGUGAGAGGAUCGGAAAAGCGGCUUAUCGUUUGGCUUUACCUCCAGAGACAAAAAUUCACCCAGUCUUUCACGUGUCUCAGUUGAAAGCAGUUCUGGGAGCUGAUCAUCAGGUGCUUCCGUUACCAGUUUCACCUACGGGUCUUGAUGAUGUUAUCGUUGUGCCGGAGGCUAUCUUGGAUACUCGUUACAAUGAUAAAGGAAGUUUAGAGUUGCUAGUUCAGUGGCGCUCCCUACCUCCUUCGGAGAACUCCUGGGUGUUAUACAGAGAGUUUCGUGCCCAGUAUCCUGAGUUUAAGCUUGAGGACAAGCUCGGUUUCGAAAAGGGGGGUAUUGAUAAGCUUCAUUAUCGUUACGUGAGACAGAGGAAGAACAGAGGAGGAGAGAGAGGGACGCGGGAAAAGGAAGAAGAAUUGAAUACGAAGGAAGACUCUGGGGCGUCUAGAGGGUCUUGAGACAGGAAAAGAUUGGAAGACUCGGAUGGACAGAGAAGGUUUGCCGUUAUGUUCGUUGAGUAGCUUUAAAUACGAGCCUGCGAGCUCAUUUGUGGGUAGCUUUGUAUUUUGGAUUAGAGACGAUAGUCUUGAGGAGAUCUCGUCUGGGUUAAGCCAGCGAGUCUCGGUUGAUUCACAAUACAAAGUGUAAACACCUUUUCAUCAUAUCAAUAAAAAUCAUCUUUCGUUGUGUUCGUGAUCGAGUUUGUAGAGAGACCUGACGAUCAAACUCUAUCAGAAAGCAGAGCCAUUCUCUGCAUUAUUUGGAACCAAACCUCAGAGGCUCAGACAGACAGUAACUACCAGUCUCGCACAAUACUCAUAAUUGAAGAAAGUAACUCAAUACCAUCAGUACAUACUGUAUGCAGCAGACCAGCAGCAACGCUUUUAACCUAGUGUUCAACCAAAAGAACAGACAAGCUGUUAUUAGCAAGAGAGUCUAAAGAUUAAUUUUCAUCUAAGAAAUUACCUUAAUCCCCUCAAGUUCCUUGAUAAGCCUUGGAGUAAACUCACUACAAGCGCAGUACAAGAAAACUAUGAAGGAAUCAUGAUAUGAAAACUCUUGUGAGUAAAAAUUUACAUGAGAAAGAAACAAAUAUAGGAAUUAAGCAAAAACAGACCAACCUUUUACUUUUUAAGAUGCCAAAAAAACUGGACUCGUGACCGUGGCCAAGUCUUCCAGAUCCUCCUCCACCCCAACUCAGGACUUCACCUCCAUCUGCUCCAGAAAGAUACUUAAAACACACACAAAAACAGGUGUUUAAGAAUCUAGGAUCCGUACCAGUAACAGCAACUGAAUGCUCUGAUCCUAAAGCCACUGAUUUGAUGGUGAUCCCAUUCAGAGCCUGCACUUUGGUUGGUACAUGAACCACUCUUGCAGCAUCUGUAUAAUAGAAACGAAUAUGUAAAUAGGCAAGCAACUUUGAUGAAUUAGGACAUAAAUCACAGUGCACCAUAACUUAUUGAAAUGUAAAAACGUAAUUACUUUUUCCAAGUCCAAGCUGUCCACUAGUAUUCUUUCCCCACAUGUAGAGUUCCCCAUCCACUAACAAAAAGAAAGAGAGCACAGAUGUGACCAAGUAAGAAAUAACAUACAAUUUAUGUAAAGCACUGUACUGCACCAGAAGAUGUAAUGAAGAACAUUGUGCUUAUUUACCUGUGAUAGCAGCAGAGUGGUAAUAACCAGCUGAGAUGUGCAGUAUAUCAUUUUCAAUUCCAGAAACUUCAAGCGGCUCCUACAACGUUUUAUACACAAGAAACAAGUUCCAAUUGAAUACUCUGAGAUAAAGACAUGUGAAAAACAGAGAAUCAAAGAAAAACAAACCCUAUAGUUUUUUGCAAAAACCUACAUACCAAAGCAUGAGUGUUAACAUGUGAGACACCAAGUUGGCCACAAUCAUUAAGACCUGUCGCAAAGACUCUCCUUGUUUCUGUCACAUAGUGUAGGAAGUGUAUGUUAAGCUCACAAUCAGAUUCAAAAAAGAUUACUUUACAACUAAAACACCAAACAUGCCUAGUCAGAGCCGGAUCUGGGCACAGCAAUCCGCCUAUAUAGCUAGUUUAUAUAGGCCCAAUGGCCCUCACAUUGUCGAUUUUUUUAAUUAAGAUUAACUUUUUUAAAAAAUGUUUAUAACCUCCUAAAUCUCAGAUCAGUCCAAUUAAACUAAGCCAAUAAAUAAUAAAGAUCCUAUCACUCAAAUUCAAAUUCUGAUCAAAUAAAUCGAAUUAAAGAGGGAGAUGACGAAAGAUCACCGGUGAGGAAAAGAGUGUGAGCUCCGCCGCAAGCGAGAGCUCUAAUACUGUGAUCACUCAACGCAGAGCAAACGGCGGGUCUCCACCGAGACUCCAAGCUCCCUAGCCCUAACCUUCCGUAAUCUCCACUCCCCCACAUCGCCGCAAAUCGUUUCCCGCUCUCGCUCGACAACCGUCUUCUUCCACGGGAAGCACCAAUCGUCGUAUCCAAUUUCGAAUUAUCGAAAACUCCAGUGAAAUGAUUCUUCGAUCGUUGAAUCGUCGAUCCAGAGAUUCGAACUCGUCCCAGGGCUCUAGUCAACAUUUUGAAUACAGCAGGUUAAAAUGGAUCGUUCUUCUUCUAACGAAUGUGAGAGAAGAGAGAAUUGAUCAUGAGGAGAUUGAGCUGUGUUGAUGGAAUCACAUGAUGGUGAAGAAGAAGGAAGAAACUGAUGGAUAGAAACAAUGCUACGUCUUCUUCCCCGUUAUUCAAUUUCUGAGAGUGUUGUGAAGUUUUUUUUGGAUAUCGGUCCUUCUAGUUUUCUCAUUUUUCAAAUUUCGUCUUAACAUUUUGUUUUGUACAUAUUCACACCCAAAUAUAAUUAAAUUUUUUUUUAUCAAAUAGAAUAAUUAUGAUUAUUUUCUAAAAGGAAAAUUUCAACUUAGGUUAACGAAUAAUGUAAUCUUUGAGAUUAACUAAACGUUAGAAGUUGAAAGAAUCAACAUUUACCAAAUUGAAAGAAUCAACAUUAAUACAAUUCAAGAUUCAUAUACAUUACAUUUGUUAAAAAAAAUUUCAGCGGUAGGAGAGGAGAAGCACCACCACAACAUCUAUUAGACCUAAAACAAAUUGUUUGAACUUGGAAGACAAGAAGAGUAUAUGAACUAGUCAACAAAUAGAGGUAAUUACUAAGCAUGCAGAUUAUUGCAUUCUCCUGGAUAUAAUUAGUGUCAUUUUCAUUCACUAAAUCAGUUCUAUGUUAUGAAACAUUCUCAUAAUAGUCCAAUCUGCGAGGGAAAUGAGAACAACAUACUUUUAGGGCCACUAGUAACUUGGGAGUGUGACAGUGUGUGGUGUGAAAGCCAUGAGAGAGAUGUGGAAAGCUUUAUUCUCCUGUUAAUUACUAACUUUAUUAAUUCGACUUCAACAAAGUUUAUCCAAAACUUAAACAAACAAACUUAUCAAGUGUUAUGUAAUAAGGAAACACAAACGUGACUCUCAAGACUUAAAACCCCAAAUAAAAAAAAACAAAACACAAUCCAAAUGAAACCACAAAAAAACAAUAUCACUUAUUGGGCACGUUUGUGACUUGUUGUUGUUGAUGGGAACUUGCACUACUGUUCACAUUACAUAGAGCCACAUGAGGAGGAGACUCGAAAGAGAAAACACACAUCCUACACUCUUGAUCAAAGGAGUCGUUCUUGAACGUGCAUCGAUCGCAGAACCAGUAAUCAGUGGUUACAUCCUCAUAAGCAUCAACCUUAACAUCACACAAACCAUCUUCAAGAGUCUUUACAAAGAAACGGAAGUAGUUGCCAGUUGUUUCUGUUGUGUCUCCUAACUUCUCCCUAAAGGCAAUGAUACCUCCACCACCUGAGAUGAUUCCAUCCGUCACCUUAUGUAGAGUCUCUUUAUGCUUAGAAAGAUUUGCAGUAGCUUUCUCCCGAAGGUAAUCAAGGUACUCCUUCUUGGCGAUAUGGUAAUCACUUAUGAAAUAACCAAACACGCAGCUCCAUUUCAGCACAAGUCUGCAUUGAACAGUUAGCAUCCAUGCUUCUCUUAUAGCCUUCAUGUCUAGCUCUCUUAAACAAUUAGCAUCCAUGAUUUUUUCCUCAACGGCUUCAAGAUCCCAUUUAGAUCUCUGCAAUGCGGCAUCACUUGUCUCCCAUAGUGUCAUGUGACGUAUUAGAGCCAAGUCAUUGCUUGGUUGGGAAACGGAGCAGUCAGUACAUUUCCAUACUCCAUCAUGAUUUUCCACAAGACUGUAGCAUUCAGGACAAUGCUUGAUCCUUUUAGUGGUCCGCGCAAGGUUUCUUGAUUUAUACAAUAGUUCAUUCAACCAAAGGGAAGCAUUGUUGCAAGUCACCGGUCGGUGUGACUCUAGCUGGCAAUUCCAACAGAAUAUGUGACCGCACAAACACACCACAUCAAAGUCUUCUGAUGGAACCUCAUCAUGACGCUUGAUGGCGUAGUCGUCGCAGUCAGGACACCGUUUGAUUGUUUCUUUGUUGCUCUCCAUAAAAGAUGCUAGAAGGUAUCUCUCGUACAUCUUCUUCACUGGCUCUCCGAGUUUCUCGACCGUGUCUGGUCCAACCGACGCGUGACAGUCUUGGGUCAAGCAAGAGAUCAAUAGUACUCUCUCGUCCUCCUUCUUCUUCUUCUUUAGAGUUUUGCUGAGAUAAUCUCUCCAGCAAUCUCUAGAGAACUUAUGUGAGCAAAAAGACGUGGACAUGAGAUUAUCAUCUCCUUCACCGGUCACCUCAAGAUCUUCAUCAGAAGAUCCAACCAAACCUAAUUCCGACAGAAACUUCUCCUUGUCGUCUACCAAACGAUCUGAAGCCUUGCACAAGUUCCAACAUAGAUGGACUAGGAUCACGGUUGCAUCAGACAGCGACAGAGAGAACACUUGCGAGAUCUGAACUACUUCCUUCAUCAUCUUCUCACGAAUCUCCUCUCUCGUAUGAACGGAGUAGAGUCUUCGCCCAUUGUAGUUCAUGUCUGUAAAAAAGAAAAUGAGAUUCAAACCUAACAAAUAGUGAAAGAGUGUUAUGUAAGUAAAUGGGAGAAUAUGUUAUAAAUGACAUACCGUUGCUGCGGGUCGUUGAGGAAGAAUAGGGUUUUAGUAGCUUGUGGAACAAGUUAAAACAAAAUCUCUGAGGAAUGGUGAUUGAUAGUGCUAAUGAGUUUCGUUUUUGUUUUUGUCAACGACUAGUGAGAGUUUAUAACUAACUAACAACACGCGGAGAAACAGUGUUUUUGAAACAUUAUUAUUUUCUCGACGUGUCUGAAAUCUGAAGACAAUAUAAUACUAUAGUUUUCAUAAAUGAUCAGUUAUGAAUGAAGUUGGCUUUCACGCAAUCAGUUGGAAGAGAUGAAUCACAGCUAAGAAACGCGUGAACACAUUAGUCUUUUUUUAAUCUUGUUUUUAUCUCAAUCCCCCAGAGAUGUUCUAAUAUUUAAUCUAUUAUAUUUGGAAUCAAGAACUAGUCACAGAACCUUGGUCAGAGACUUAUCUGAUGUAACUGUAAAGUAAUUGAAUCAACAUCAGAUUUUGCAAACCAGCUGAUUCCAACUUUAAACCGGUGUUCAUCAGUUGGCAGUCUGAUCAAAUACACCAGUUAUCUUGCUGCGUGACGGAUUGGUUCUUCAUCAAGUGUAGAUUGGGAUGCUAAUCUAUUCUGUCUCUCAUGGUUGACAAUUUUCUUAAACAAAAGUUAAUGGCUCCUCUUAAUUUAAAAUCUUCAGAGUAUCCUUAAUGAAUCAUUUCCUUUAAAAUUUUCUCAACUAAUCAUCUAUUACCAAUUGGGUUUCGACAAUUUAACCUCUCUUCCAUUUUGGACAAAUCAUAAUUUUCCUCUCAUUCCUUCUUUUGAUACUUUCUCUUUCAUUCAUCUCUUUCAUUGUUUCCUCCUUUGCAACAAAUUCAUGAAAAUUUGAGACAACCACAAAUAUUUAUCAUUUUGUUGUUUCAAUCUACUCUCAUAUAAAUUUUUGAUGAAAUAACAAGAAUUUGCUUACAAAUGAAACAUUGAUGAUGCUAAGAAACUAUUAACAGACUACAAUCUUUUUUUCCCUACUAAGAAACAAAGAUGAUAGAGAACUUCUCUCUAACACAUCACAACACAGUAAAAAAAAUCACCCUCCUCUUUUUUUAUCCCCGUGGAGCAAAGAUCCAAUUCAAGAAUGGUUUCUGCUCUGGUGGGUCCAGCCAGGAGUUGAAAUAGUCAGAAGGCUGAUACAAGAACUGAGGGACAAAAGCUUCACUCUGCAACAAGACCACGGAACCACCGUUGCUGCUGGAUCUGCUGCAUCUUCUCAGGUCACAUCUGAACAACCUGUGGGUAGUAAGCUUUGAUAUCUUGCCUAUGGAGAGCAGAGCGACUAAAUAUUUCAACUUACCAACACAAUACACAGUGUGUUUUAUUUGGAAGCUAAACUAAAUAUUUCAACUUACCGACAAAAUAAUUUGUCUUGGAAACAGUUAGACAUGUGUACAGAACUAGAAAAGGAAUCAGAAGUCUUGAGCAUUUGUUGGACAGAAAAAAAAAAGGAAUGGCAGAGAUUAACUCGCUAGUCAUUGUGCAAAGGUAAAAACGCGUCAAGUUGGAAUUUAGUCGGUGGAGGAGUCUGAUGCUUCCUUGUAUUUAAAACUGUCAUUCAUGCAAACAAAGACAAUCAGUUAACAUGGCUAAAGAGAGAUCAUAUAUAAUUGCUCUUCUUCUUCUUCUUCUUUCUCUGCUUCUGUGUUUUUCAUCUCAAUCUCAAGUUGGUGUUGCCGAGGCCAAACGUCACACACGUUAGUAUUUCUAUCCAUAAUUUUCAGUUAUUUUAAAACUGUUCAAGUUACUAUAUACCUGGUUGUUUUAUAUAGAAAUUUGCUCGAUCAUGACCUCUAUGUACACCAACAUAUUCAGCACAUAUCGUCACAUAAUGCCGAAGUCUUCUUUUUUUUUUUUUUUUUGUAGUUGCUACCAGGUAUUCAGAUUCUCGAUGCGCCAAUAAAAUUCUCAAAAUUCCAAGUAAAUUUCUGUUCCAAAAUUAGAAAACAAACAUUCUUAAAUAAAUUGUCCGUACAUAGUUAUGGUUCAAGUUUGCUGAGGGGGUGUAAACUAGCGCCAGUGCUAAAGAACCUAAUAAUAUGAAUUUGCACGUCUUGGAAAGAGAUUCACUUCAAUUCAGAGAAUGGGAGAUGACAAGUAAGAAGUAGGAAUGAGAUUUUGGUUUGCCACAAGAAGUAUAGCAUAGACAUAAAGAAAAUUUUGUCUUUUACAUUUUCAAAGUAAGCUACACUUGAUGUAAAACAAUGGCUUUUUGAUUUGAAUAAAUUUAACAUUCAAUUCAAAAAAAAAAAAUUUGGACGUCCUGGCUCCAAAUUUUGGGACAUUGUUUUAUAGCUUCCAAGUUAUUAUUUUUAACAUUAAAAGUGUUUAUGGUAUUUUAAAUCUCAGAACCUGAAAAUCAAAGGAUUACACCUCACUCGAAGUCACCCAAAGGAAAAGGACCAUAAGUGAUAAAAUGAAGUUUUCAAAAAGUGAAGGAGAGUACAAGAAGAGUCGACUUUAUAAUUGUGUAACUGUUAAAAGUCUAUCAUGGAUUUGCUUAUACAUAAAUCAAUAAAUGUUUCAUAAACCAGAUAUAUUCCAAAAACUUAUGUGGAAUUUUUAACCUAAAAAGAGAAAUAGUCUUCAAUUAUGUUUCUCUUUUAGCAUAAACAAUUAAAACCGAGAAUCUGUUAAAUCAAUAAAAAUAUAGGGUUGCUAUAGAACCUAAAGUGGCUCUUGAAAAAGGUGGCAGUGAAAGUAGGAUACUGAAGCAAACAGUGAAGGAAGUGCAACACAUGAGUUACUUUUCUAUAGAUGAGAGCUGAAUGAUGUGCUUGUUAACACAAAAAAAAAACCUGAAUGAUGUGCUGAUGUAAGAAGAGUCAUGUAAAGGAGACUAACACCUAAGGGAAGUAGGGAACUAAACUCAAAACAUGGAAAAGCAAAAUUGCACAGAACAUCUAACACCAUGAAAGAAGCAUCUGUGGAACUGAAGAAUGCAUCAUAUAAAACACUUUGGGAAUGUCAAACCGAAGCAUGCAGCAAUAUCAUUGCUCUAGAGUAAGCUAUGAUCCCUUUCUUUUCACUGUUUGUAUAUUCAUCUACAUUAGUGCAACUGGUAUCUUGAAGAAUGUAUAAUUUUUCAUAUAAAUUUCUGAUGAAAUAACAAGAAUUCACCUACCAAUGAAAAAACAUUGAAGAUGCUAAGAAACUAUCAACACUCUACAAUCUUUCUCUCACUACUAAGAAACAAAAGAUGAUUGAGAACUUCUCUCUACCACAUUACAACACAGACCAAAAAAACCUUUCCCUCUCAUCCUUUUUAUCACCCCUGUGGAGCAAAACUCCAAUUCAAGAACGGUUUCUGCUCCGGCGGGUCCUCCUGCCAGGAGUUGAACUCAUAAGAAGGCUGGUACAAGAACUGAGGCACAAAAUCUUCACUCUGCAGCAAAUCCAUGGAGCCACCACCGAACAUGGAAGCAUCAAAAGCAUUCUCAAACUCCCCCCAUUUAGGCUCGCUCUGAACCUCCCUCGCAUCCGGCGACACCACGCGACCCCCCGAGCUGCUCGAGUCAUCCUCUUGCAACGUCGGGUAAGUCGAGUCCGACGCAUCGAAAGGCGAUGAAGCCGCCGUCAUGGUCAUCGGUUUCUCAUCAGCAGGGUAGUACUUCUCCAUGGUCCCUUUCUUGUUGUAGAUUCGACAUAACACCCAAUCAUCAAGCUGUAAUUAAAAAAAAAAAAAAUUAAUAAUCUAAAUCAUUAUUACAUUCAGACAAACAAAAAAAAAAGGAUAAGACAGAACAGAACAUACUCGAAGGUUGUUCUUUUUGUUAACAGAAGCUGAUCUGUCAACAUUAGCGAGACGAUACUCGUGCAUGAUCCAGUUCGUCUUAAUCCCUUUGGGAGCUUUCCCAGCGUAGAACACGAGCGCUUUCUUAAUACCCAGCGUCUUCGGUUUACCGAUCGGUUUAUCAGCUCCGGUGGCUUUCCAAUAACCGGUUCCCGCCGCCCGGUUAGGACGCGAACCGUUUGGGUAUUUCCGGUCUCGUGGCGAGAAGAAGUACCACUCUUUCUCUCCGUACAGAGACAUCUCUGUAAUAAAAAAACAAAAAACAAAUCUCUCGAUUAGCAAACGAUUCUCGAGAAAAAUCUCGAUUAAUGAUUAGAAAACCAAUUCGAUUUUUACCAGGAAGCUCCCAAGGGUUGAACUUGUAGAGAUCGAUUUCGGCGAUGACCGGAGCAGAGAUCUCCUCCGAUGCGCAUUUCCGGCAAAGGUAGAAUUGCACAAGCUCUUCGUCCGUUGGGUGGAAUCGGAAUCCUGCUGGUAAGUUUAGCCCUGCUUUCAUUUUUUUUUCAAAAGUCUUCUCUUCUCUUCGAGAUCUGGGGUUUGUCUGGUGAAGAUUGGAAUCGAGGAGAUGAGAGUGAGGAGACGAAAGGUUUUAUAAGGACGAGAAUUGCGGAAAUUAAUCUAAUUUAAUUUAAUUUAAGAUAGAGAGGGAUGACACGAGGGGAGAUUUUUUUAAGCACGUGCGGCAAAACUCGGCCGUUUUCUCUUCUAAACGCUGACGGCAGCCAGCUGGGGACGUACGUGGCCUAGUGUUAGUGGAUGGUCGACGUAGUGAAAAGUAGUGAUGAUGUCACUGCUUGCGUCACCCGCGCCCUUUGUAGAUUGUUGACCGACCUAAGUGUGUGUCAGCACCUUGAUCCCCUGCUUCAAGUGUAGCUUAUCCAUUUUGUUCAGAAUUGGUAAUGAGAUCUUUUUUUUUGGGUCUAACUUGGUAAUGAGAUUUAUAAAACUUUCAACAGUUGUAUUGUAGAGUGAGGGAGGAGUAAAUAAUCAAAUACAAUCCUUUUAAUUAAUUUGAGGAGAUCUAGUAAUGCGUAUUUAUUACUCUAUGUAUUAUAUUAUAUUAAGUAUCGUUGUAAAGAAUUUUUUCCGUUACAAAAUAAGUAUCGUUUUCAAUUUUCAAUGUAAAAUUUAUUAAUUUUAUUUAACAAUUAAUUUUUCUAUUGGUUGAAAUAUGGUUACCUGUAUAAGUAAUUGUGUUUUCAUAUAAAAAAUAUACAAAAUUAAUUAUUUUUUAAUAUGUGUGCACAAAUUCAAAGUGACAUUUAAAAUGAAACAGAUGGAGUAAUACUUAAAAAAUUUUGGCUCGCUAUUAUUCCAUAUGUUUCGAAAAAUAAAUGUUUUAAAAAAAUAUGUUUUAAAAUUUCACACAUAUUAAAAAAAUAUAUGAAAUUUUGAUUAUUAAUAAAUUAUUUUUGUACGUAACUAUUUUCCGUAACUUUAACCAAUACAAUUUCAAUAAAAAACUAUUUAAAAAAAAUACAAUUUACUAUUAAUUAAUAUAUUGACAAUGUAUUUUUUUUUAAUAUAAAACAUGUAUCUUUUUAAGAAGUAUAAUUUAAUUUAAGAUUCUUAACUAAGAUUAUUUAUGUUUUCUCAUAUUUGUUUUUUUGUGGGAACAAUAAAUGUCCUCAGCAGCCAUACUUUUAUUAUAUUCAAAUGGAUACACUAUUGUUAAACAUUGCUGAAGAUAAGUCAGAAUUCCUUGAGGUGGAAGUUUUGGGUGUGUCUUGUGAUUGGACAGCCGAUGAUGAAACUACGGUGGGCUUUGUCGCAGUAUAUAAGAACUUCUUCCUUGAGCGAAGCUCGCGUCAUGGCUAAUGAUGGAUGAGGUCAUCUAACGUUGAAUCGUAGUCUAGUUGAGCAAUAGCCAGUCGUACUCACGCACUCGCGGCUUCUUUUUUUUGUUCCUUACAUAAUCUGUAUUUUAAACUAGAUUUUUCGCGACUUGCAGUAUUUGUACAAUAUACUCUGAUUUGUUUAAGUUUUUUAAAGAAUAAACAUGAAGUCUCUUCUAUGUGAAAAUCUUUUAAAUGAAAGUUGAGGUAUGUGUGUAUUAGGGACUGACGUGGGCGUGUUCCCCGUUUGAUGAUCAUCAUCACUUACGUUUCUUAUCAUAUAUAUAAAUAUGAUUAUGUUCUCUUCAAGUUGGUGUUGUUUAAGACUUGGUCUUUCAUUUUAGUAUUAGAAUUCCAUUAAUGUAUAACACGAACUUUUGUUGGUCAGACAUGACUUUUUGUCAAUUAUGAUUUUUAUUUAUUGAUAUAAUAACGCAGAUAUUUGUAUAAGUCGUAUCGUUUCAUACACAUAAUUUUAUUUUAAUAAUUAAGAGCAAUGAAGACUUGUAGUUGUACUAUGCAUGUAUUCAUAAUUGCCUCCCCAUUCGUAACACUAAUCUUGGGAGUUUAUCGGAUGUGAAUUUUAAGUAAGAGUUAAGCCAUUUAUAACAGUUUCAUAUAUAUUUUCUCCAAAAUUUGUUUAAGUAUAACAACUUCAAAAGUUUAAUAACUUCUGAGUAAGAACUUAGAAAAUUAUCAUCCUGAUAACAUCAUAUUAAAAUAGAGUUACAUAACCAAUGGUACGUAACAAAAACAUUUUGAAUAGCAAGAAAAGAAUUAGGAAAACAGAAAUUUACUAGAAACAUUAAAAUUCACCAUUAAUUAACCAUUACGAAUAUAAUAUUCUUUUCAGGUAAAGCUACCAAUAAAACAAGAUAGAGUACUUAAAACAAACCCUAGACUAUUAUAAGAAGCGCCCUAAUCAUAAUGAUAUGAACAAGUUGUUUAUUGUCGUUUUGGGGUGGUAACAAUCAAGUUAUUUAUAAGUAAAAGAUACGAGUCAUAGGACCAAUAGAAUAAUAUGAUUUUUCCAAUUACAAAAAUCAGAUAAAUUGUAUCUGGACUUGAUCUGAAUUUGUUAUUAUACAAAUAGAGAAAUCGACUUCAUACUUUUUGCAGUUGUUUGUUUAGUUCAAGUCGUUGUGUGAAUUGAAAUAGGAAGCUUCGUGGAGCUUGAUGUUAUAGCUGCCUAACUUGACCUAAAACAUAUAAAUAUAUACCUUCUUUUUGUGGUGGAUUAUUACUUUAUGUGUUCUGUCGUAUUUAGGUCUUUUAGGAAUAUGCUUAAGAAGUUGGAUAAGGAGACAAGCUGGGACCUCGUUGUCGAAUAUUUAACAACAUGGAGGAUCGCAUAACAUACUAUUCAUAUGACUACUUGUCUUAUUCGAUGAUAUAAAUAUUUUAUAACUCGUGUGUAUGUAACAGUAAAAUCAUUUCUACGACAUGAUGAUUUUGAAAACGUGGAUUGUGUUGUAGAAUUUCCAUUGAGUAUGAGUUUAUGACAUAGAUUGCGACUUCUGAACUUAACAAUACUCGAUACUAAUGGGCCAUAUGCAGCAACAUAAAGACAACAUGCCAAAUUUGGGCCUUUAUAUGGGCCAUUACGAAAAUUGUAGCUGCAGGCUCUCAAUUAUUCAGUGCUAGAGAUUGUAAACAGUUGGAUUACACAGAGGAAACAUUGCGACUGUCUUAGAUACUGCAUCAACCAACAGAUGCUUGAGUAGCAUUAUGUGCUGAGGUGUUGCUGUUUAAUGAUGCAGCCACCGCUUCACGCUCCUUCCGGAUUCGCUCUCUCUAUCAAAAUUUCAAUGUAAACAACAGAGUAACAAAAAGCCAAAGUUAGUCAGAGAUUGGCAUGUGCACACAAAAAGAGUGGAAGUUUUAGCAUUUGGUAAUAUUACUAAUAUGACUUGAAGCAGAGCAUUAUAUAACAUGACAAAACGCUCCAAAAGAUGGAAAACUAUACACAGACACAAGAGAGAUUCACGUACUUAAAAGAAAUGUUAAUCUACACACUUGGAGACAAGAAACAUACCCUUCUCUCCCAGUAGGGCAAGAAGCAGACGAAGUCAUAGACAGGAGUGAUGGUCUGCACCAAAACAGCGUUGAUUCCAGUGAAAAGCAAGAGUCCCGUCAAAGGCCUUGUUCUGUGUGGCAUCUCUCUUUCUUUCCAAACUCUGUGAAGAAUCUUCAGCUCAGUAAAUCAUUUAUUAACAUCUCUCUCUCAGUCAAGAGUCAAGAUUAUCCUAACUAAAUCUUAACAAAACAUAAUCAAAUUCAAAAAGCAAAGCAUUUACUAGUAGUGAGAUUGACUCUCAAGAUAUUAAUAGUAAUCAACAAAUUAAAAUUCUUGUAACAGAUCACUGAUUGAUUGAGAGAAAAUGAGAGUAUUGACUUACGACGGAGAUUCUUCGAAAACUCGUCAGGCGACGAAGAGAGAUCUCGGUGGCUUCUUUUUAAUUAGGUCUCUGUUUUUAUUUCCAAAACGACGCCGUUUAGUUAAGUGAAAGAUAUAACGGUGGAUAAGCGCGCAACGUGGCUACUUACUCAACCAAGAAGGACCUUCCAACGUCCGAUCCUCCUCGUCUUCUCUUUUUUCCUUCUUCUUUUAUUUCUGGAGAUAUUUAAAAAAAAAAAUACAAAAAUUAAACCAAAAAAAAAAACUGAAGAAAUCUCGUUUCUUUCAUCCGCCAUUAACGACCUCUCAAGGUAUGCUCUUUGAUUUUUUAAAUUUAUUAUUCAAACCUAAGCUUCUAUUUUUCUGUGAAUUUAUUGUCGGUGAAAGUCGAUUGAUUUAUUCUCAUUAGUGCCAUUUCUCAUUAGAUCACUUUUCUAAUGAUAAUGGGAAUGUUCUUCCUUUUCCCUUUAUCUCACCUAAGCUUGCUUGAUUCAUUACUUAGCUAUUCAAUGAGUUAAUGUUUCUCUUAUUUUCAGACAUGUUCACCAUGUGUCAACCACUUCGGUCUAAGGCAAACUUAGUGAUGCUGUUUAAAGGAUAUAGACGGUUUGUGAGAACAACAUGCCGAGUUUCAAUCCCUGGAGGUUCUUUGGGAAACGAAUUAAAAGCACCUCCAAGGUUUCUUAGGGAUAAAAAAAUAGUUCCUGAUGCUGAUCCUCCUCAUAAAGAAGAUAUCCACAAGCUCUAUCAACUUUUUGAGCAAAGGUACCAUCUUUUAUUCAGCAUAUAUAUAUAUAUAUGAUCUUUUAAAUCUAAUGGCUUUCUUCAUUCUCUUGUCUAGUAAAAGACUCACCAUCUUGACUGGAGCUGGGAUUAGCACUGAAUGUGGCAUCCCUGAUUACAGGAGGUUACUAUUGUUCAUUCAUAUUUGAUCUAAUGGUCUUGGUUUGGUUUUGUAAUGAUUAUUUGACGUGUUAUUGUUUGGUGCAGUCCCAAUGGAGCAUAUAGUUCUGGUUUCAAACCAAUUACCCACCAGGUGAUCUGAAAGCAAGAUUGAAGUCAGUGAAAAAAAAUUGGAUUUGUUUAAUUAUUUUACUGUCUACAAUUCUCUUUUCUACAGGAAUUCACUAGAUCAAGCCGAUCUCGUAGGCGGUAUUGGGCAAGGAGUUAUGCUGGAUGGAGACGGUUCGCUGCAGCACAGCCAGGUCCAGCUCAUACUGCUUUAGCAUCACUUGAGAGAGCUGGACGAAUUGAUUGUAUCAUAACGCAAAACGUUGACAGGUAAAACUUAUCAGAGAUCUCUCUUCUCUGUUGGAUGUUGUUGGCUCUUAAGCUCUAAGUUUCUUAGGUUGCAUCAUCGUGCUGGGAGUGAUCCGCUUGAGUUACAUGGGACAGUGUAUACUGUUAUGUGCUUAGAUUGUGGCUUCUCUUUUCCUCGAGACUUGUUUCAGGAUCAGCUAAAAGCUCUCAAUCCUAAGGUCAGUGUUAUAUAGCAUAACUCGAAUCAACUGACUUAAUUUACACUCAGCAAAGUUGUUACUCUUACUGUAGUGGGCAGAGGCAUUAGAAAGUAUUGAUCAUGGAGAACCAGGAUCAGAGAAGACCUUUGGCAUGAAACAAAGGCCUGAUGGUGAUAUUGAGAUCGAUGAGAAGUUUUGGGAAGAUGGUUUUCAUAUACCAGUUUGCGAGAAGUGCCAAGGAGUACUAAAACCUGAUGUAAGAACUGAGAUAGACACAAAGCAUUUAAGUUCUGUUUCUAAUUAUGUUUUUCUUUUUUUUUUGUAAGGUAAUCUUCUUUGGAGACAACAUCCCAAAGGAAAGAGCUACUCAAGCAAUGGAAGCUGCGAAACAAAGUGAUGCAUUUCUAGUGCUGGGUUCGUCUUUGAUGACAAUGUCUGCUUUUCGUCUUGUCAGGUAAUGCCAGAGAACAAUCUCUUACCAUAUUUUUUUGAGUUUACAUCUUAUUGAGGAGCAUAUGUGUUUCUUUUUGCAGAGCGGCUCAUGAAGCUGGUGCAAUGACUGCAAUUGUUAAUAUAGGUGUUACCAGAGCUGAUGAUAUUGUUCCUUUGAAAAUCAGUGCAAGGGUUGGUGAGGUAAGAUGAUAGUUUUAUCUCUUAUCUUCAUCCUUCAAAAACUUAGCAUUUUUUUUCAUCUGAUUGGUGCAGAUAUUACCCAGAGUUCUUGAUGUGGGAUCACUCGGUGUCCCAGCUGUAUAGGGAUUUAUCAAUCAAUUGAUUGUAACAUUCCAAUUUUUAAUGAAUACUUCAGUUCCUGCAAUGUAUCUUCUCAAGUUGUAAUUUUCAACAGAAAAUAAAGAGUAAUCUUCAUUUUAAAUGCAUAAAAUUGACGUCCAAACAAGACUUGUCUGAACCAAAAGAGAUAGAAAGAUACACCAAAGCUUACAGUUACAGAACAUAUAGUGUUCUGUCAAAAGGCUUUAGAUGAUCCAAAAAAAAACAAAAAAAAACACUGAGUCAUCUUCUACUAGAGUUUACUACUAAUUAUACAAACUUUUUAAAGCUAAGAAAGAUCAGAGAGCGCCUUGUCGAUAUCCCCUGCGUGGUUCCGAAGAGUGUUCCACUGUAAGAAAACAUUUAAGUGUCAGACAUAAGCAGAUAACAGUAGAGAGCAAAUACAUGUGAAAGUCAUAAAAAUGGGGAGAUAGGUGUUAAUUUACCUGGUCAACGCUUAGAGAGAUACCUGCAACAUAUAACAACCUUGUCAAUGUCAACACGAUUACAUGUAGAAAGCAAACUAGUUUAGACUGUUUCCUAGAGACAGGCUUAGGAAACUGAAAUUUUUUAUCAACCAAUUUCAUGUUGGAACAUACAGCAUCAACUCAACACAUAGAACAUAAACAUUCCCAAUCCAAAGAAUCGUUUAUUAGAAAACCCUGACAUAUACAGUUUCUCAAUUCCAGACUAGAUGCAGAAACAAAAACUGAACUAAACAAGCAGAUGAGCAAACACAAUGUUACAAUGCAAAACAGUGAGAACAAGAGGAACACUAACAAGAAAGAAAAAAAGAGUUAACCUUUCUUGCCGGGGAGAGUUUUGCCGUCCUUGACAUAGAACUCACGAAUGUCAAUCCAAAUCUUCCCGUUCCAGUUCCUCACAGAGACUCUCCUAUUCUUCGAUAUCUGAAUUCAAACCCCCAACAAAACAACCAUAAACCCUAAAUUGAGUAAGACACAAUCAUGACUUAAUCAUAACCAUUAAAUGUCACUGUUAUUAGAGUAGACAAGAGUCUGGAAUGAUAUAGAAAGAGAGAGAGAUGCAGCAGACUUACAUUGCAGACGACGAUGUCGUCAGACUCCUCGGAUUCCUCCGUUGGCUUUGCGACUUUCUUAGCCGGCGCGUGGGCUUCAGAUUCGUCAUCUGAUGCUCGGACACCAUCGUCUUUUCGCUUUCCUCUCCACGACAUGUUCUCUCUAGCGAAUUGACCUGUAAAAAAAAGGCUCUUUUCAGACCAAAGUGAACUAGCACUCGCGAAAAUCCGAGAAUUACAUAAUUAAGUAACCGAAAGAGAGACCUUGUCGUGAAGCUGCAGCGGUAGAGAAAGCUCUCUCCUUCUAAAGUUGGACUCUUGAGAUACUGAAGGAAAGCGAAACGCUAAUGACUCUCUGCUCGCGUAUUUAUGAAAAGCGAACACCGAACACGCGCGGUUGUAGCGAGUGUGAUAAAAUUAGAAGUAAAAUUGGAAUCAGACCGUGUUAUAUUCGGUUUUUUAACUUAAACCAAAGAAAAAACCAUAAACCAAACUAAACCGAUACGGAAACAAGUAGCAAUCUCUCGAUCUGGUUUAGGGGUUUAAGCAGCGAUGGCUCUCUGAGCUUCUUCAUUAGUGAAAUCAUCAUCGGCGACUUUGUCAACGCUUCUUCUAACUCACUCCAGGUAACUUGGUUUAGUUUUGUCUUAUUGCUAGAAGAGAGUCUACGAUUUUGGAAGAGUGUAGAGAAAGUAGUUUCAUUUCGUGAUUUAUCUCUGCCUGUGUGCCAUUCAUCUCCUAGAUGCAUAGAAAGUGUUUGUGAAAAUGCCUCAGUGAUUGUUGCUUUGCAUUUAAUUUCAUAGAUCUCUCUCCCCCCCACAAUUUGGUUUCGAGGGCUUUUGCAAAGUUAAUCGAUUUCAAAUCCUAAGAAACUGUGGAUCCCAAUGCUUUUAGAUCAUUUAGAAUGAAUCUUAUAAAUUGUUUUUUUUCAGAUGAUCUUAGUUUAGUUCACUUCAUAAACUCAAUGUAGAUCCUACUAUUUGAACCACUUCACUGUACGAUAUAACGAGAUUUCACACCGAAAGUAUUCAGUUUUUAGUAAGAAUAUAUCUUAUAACAUGAACUGUUUUAUUUAUUAAUUCUUGCUUGUGAUGAGUUUGUAAUUAAGGACUGAGCUUAGCCUAGUUCUGUAUGUUCUAAGCUCGUCUUCUUGCUUUAUUAUAAUUUUUCCUUUUUUUCUCUGCUUUGUUUCACUUCAGAUUCUAGUCAGAAGCUGAGUUGUGUGACUUGAGAUGGCGUCGGAGCAGAGCGGAUUGGAAAACCAGGAGAGCCAACCAAACCAAGUGGCUCCUGGUUUUGUAGGAGCAAUCGAAGAACAAUACAAGAAACUGAGAGAUCACGCUGAAGCUUAUCCGUAUGUUUGGGGUUCUUAUACUGUUGUCUACGGCGGUCUUUUCCUUUGGACUGCUUACAGAUGGAGGAAGCUGAGGAGAACCGAGGAUCGAGUUCGUGGCCUUCAGACCAAACUUAGGAAACUCGUCCAAGACGAACAGGCAGCUCUAACAGCUUCUAAACCUGAGAAAUCACUGGACAAGUCUUCUUCAGUUUCUGACAAGACACCAGUGCCUUGAUUAGUUAUAAUCAAAACCAUUUUCUCUGUUAUAGACUUAUGACGAGGUUGGUUUUCAGUAUUCAAGAGGUUAAAUCUGUUUUGUUACUUACAAUGCUUUGUUAUUUACCAUCAUAGGCUUUUUAUAUAAAGACAAAUUCAUCAUGUACAUUAAUGAAGAAAAGAAUACGCUGAAAUGUUGAAACGCGAAAAAAAGCGUUGUUGAACGUUUGCUGUUUUAGCAGAGGGAGGCUCAAUAAGUUGAAGCGUUUUGCCUCAAAUUGUUUGCGUUAUGUCAUGUUUAUUUAAAGUUUUAUUUAUUAUCGGUACAUAUCGUUUCUUAAAAGGUUACGUAUACAUAUGGAUGUUUUCAAGAAAACGCUGAAAUGUUAGAAACGCUGUUGUUUUGGACAUAACCAUUAUCAUGUCCAAGAAGCAUGACCUUGUCCUGGUUCAUGUCUUUAUUAUAACUACUUGUUUUUUCUUGGCUUGCUACUUUUAGUAUUUAGUGAAAUUUUUGAAUGAUUUUUAAUGAAGUUAAUUCGAUCCAAGAUUAUAUAUAUUCGAUCUUAAAUAUUUUCCCUAAUGGGUAAACCAACCACUGCAAAAUCCAAGUCAUCAUUUUAGAAACAUGAGAAUCCAACGAAGUACUAGAGACUGCUGAUAAUGGAGGUUUUGCGAGACAAAAGAGAUGAUGAAAGUAAGAACUAAAAGAAGAGUUUUAGAAAAAUAUAUACAAGGGAGCUCAUUGUCAUGGUUCAAUGGUCUCUCUCAAAUGAGCAUUUCAGACAAGGAGAGAACCGAAUUGGCAGAAGAGGAUUCUUGGUUUCAAACCUCUUUUUCACAUGUCUGGUCCUUGUCCCAUGGACGCAGAAAAGCCAUAAGGAUCCUCAUCAUUAUCAGCAGCGGAGAAAUCAAACUGGCCUUGAUUGCUCAGAUAAGAGUCACUGGCAUUCCCAUUUUGAGGUGGUGCUAAUGGAGCUGUGAGAUCCUGUAGCUCCAAGUACAGCUCCGAGUUUUCAAUUAGGUCAAAAGAGGGUGUCCUUGGCAUGCUGUUGUGCUGCAUAUUGCUGAAGUCUGGUAGUUCGCUGAAUAUGUCUUCUCCUUCUCCUAAGCAGAUUGGAGCAGAGACAUUGGCAUCAUGUCUUAUCUGUAAAAUGAUAAAUUAUGAGACAAAGAAGUAUGUCAUUAAGACACUAACAGUUGCAAAGCUGCGUUACUAGCCUAGCACGCAGUAAUACCCACUAAGAUCAUAUAUCAUGACACUAAGCAAAAGAAAAAUGAUGCUGAACACCUACCUCAUAGUUGCUGGGCUCAGGGAAACGCAAGAACUCAUCCUCGUCAACAAAUAGAUCCAACAUUGAAUAUAAGUCAUCAUAGUUGUUGGUGGGAGCUUCAAGGGUCGGUGGUGCCAGAGAGGCAGUGCUGUUAGAAUCAAGAAGUGGUGCAGCAGACAUAGGAGUGUUAGCCGCAUCAUUCAGCUGCGGAAGAUCUCUGGUAGUAGUAGUGGUAGUAGCUGAUAGGUAAUCAGAGACGCACGAUUCAGAUAUCAUGCCACCAAAACAAUCCUUAGUAGGAUCACGUGAGGACGAUGCCACAACAAGACUGGUUUCUCCGUGAAUGAUUGCUGGACCGUUGGUAGCAGGAACAUCCUCAUCGCUCCAGUCUUCAUCCUUAAACGGAGCUCCAUACUGAGCUCCAUUUCUAGGUCCGGGUCCAUCUUUCUUGAAUAGAACACAUAGCACAUAAGUAUCCUGCAGCUCAAAACACAAGAAAUCAACGAAGACAGAUACACAAGCACAAGUUGAAAUUAUAUUAGCCAUUUUUAGAUUAGUAUAUUACCUGAGGAACAUUCUUCUCUGUGAGCACCUUGUCUUCAAGCCUGUACUCAUGCAUAACCCAAUCAGUCCGCUCCCCACGAGGCGACUUACCAAAGUGAUAAACAAGAGUCUUAAUCUUCCCCGCAACUUCACCGUUGCACAAAACGUCUCUCUCCUUCCCUGUGGUCUUCCAGAAACCACAGGCAGUCGCACGGUUCGCCCUAACUCCAGUAGAAUAUUUCUUCUCCCUUGGGCAGAAGAAGUGCCACUUCAGAUCCCCACUCUUUAUAAAGGACUUAUCAGGUAAAUCAGAAGGUUCGAACUUGUAGAUGUCGACCUCAGGAAUAGCAUCAACGAGGAGCUUUUUCCCCAACACCUUCCUCUUCAAGUAAUACCUCACGAGCUCGAUAUCAGUGGGAUGAAACCGGAAUCCAGGAGCCAGCUGAGUUUUCCCCAUUGGGAGAGAGAUCCAAAAGCCAAAAGGGGAAAACUUUCACUAUUUGGGAACUGUUUCUUCAAGUUUAGUAGUAACCGAGAACAAAUCAAACAGAAAAAAUUGCAGAGAAGCUAAGAAGAGAAGAGAGAGGUGAGAGAGAAGGGCUAAGUCCAGUGCCUGAACAAGAUGAUCUGAAAGCACCACAACUUCCCCCUGCUCAUAUAACCACAAUCACACCAGAGAAAAGAUGGGUUCUUCUUGCACAGAUCAACAGACAUCUGGUGUGCAAACUUAUAAAGCCUGUUGUUUAAGACAUUGACAUACGAAAAGACUUCAACUUUACAACCAAAUCAUCAAACCCAGAAAGAGUAAAACCCUAAUUUCAGGAGCUAAAAGGGGAAAACGAAAUUAGACGACUACACAGGGAAGAACAUUGCAAUCAAAAUCGAGAGUCAUGGCGGAAUUAGAAUCAGAGACAUUGAUUGAUUCCGUACCAGGAGAGAGGGGAAAUGCUUUGACGGUGGAGGAGACGAUCGGCGCGAGUGAGAGAGUCAAAGAGAGUGGCGUGAAAGAGAAGCCAUAAGUGAAGAAAGUGUUUUACUUUUGGUCUUGUUAGGGUUUAUAUUAGAUGGAGCUCGUUUACUAAAAUGAGGGUGGGCCUAUAUGCAUACAAGGCCGUGAAUUACCUUUUUUUUUUUUUACUUUUUAAGUUUUAACUUUAAAGUUCACUUUUCUGAUUUAACCUAUGUUGAAAGUUCUAUAAAUUCAUUUUUUUAUUUACAGAAAAUAUUAUAUAUUCUUGAAAUGUAGUUAAUUAUUUAUAUUUUUUGAACCCUCUAUAAUACUGAGAAACAAAAGUAUAUCAUCAUUUUCAACCUCGGAUCAUAAUGCAAUCAACAUAAUGAAUUUGAAUAUAUGUAAAUAUGUUAUAGACUUAUAGGGUUGUUUUCGUUUUCUAUUUAUGUGUAGACAUAUACAAAUAUUAUUUCUGCUGUUCAAAAAAAUUAUUAAUAUUUAACAGGAAGCAAAUUCUAAAAAAAACAAUCUAUAUAUAUAAAAAAUUGUUGGUCUCACUCCUGCUUUGCCACGUGGAAAGUCGAUGUUUGAUAGGCCGACACGUGUCCCUCUCUUCGGGAUACUCUGCGUUUCAUUAAGUAACCAGCGACAUUUAUUGGGCUUAGUUGAGUUUGGUCUUUACGCUUUACUCAAGUGACCGAGCCCAAUAUUGAGUAACCUUUAUCUCCUCUACCGUGUCUGAUCGAAAUUUAGGGUUCUUCUAUUGGUGGAUUCGAUUACGCCGGUCGAGAUUCUUCUUCAUUAGUCGAAAAAAUGCUUCUGUUUCAUCCCAUUUAACCUCUUCUUAACUCGAACAACCACUAUAUAGCCAUCAAUGUGAAGUUCUGUCUUGCGAGUCUGGUUUUCCUCCUCUGAAAACCAUCACCUCAAUCCCUCAAAACCAACCAUUAAAUUUAUUUUCUGAGAACUGGCUAGCGCAUCAAUUUUCCUUUCUGAUUUGAAGACCGGACGAUGCUCCUCCACCGUUGAAUUGCGGUUGAUCCGUUUCUGGGAGGCCAGGAACGUCUUGAGGCGGUGGCGAACUCAGGGGAGUGGAUAAGCUCAUACUGGAUUCACAGGUUGUUAUGUAUCAUAGCUUGCGUUCAUAAUUUUAAUUUUUUUUUCCGGCGUGUUAAAUCCGCCUUAUCAAGUUUUUCUAUUUAGAUAUUUGUUUGACGUUUUAUAAAUGAGGAAUAUUUAGUCCGUGCGUUGAUUGUUCUGUCAUAUUUUUUUAAUGUUUCUGUCAUGUUGAAUCCUUAUUACCAAGUUUACUGUUUAGAUUUUUGUUUGACAUAUUUUGAGUAAGGCAAUUUAAAACCGUUUGUUGAUUGUUCUGUAUAUUCAUGUGGGUUUGAGGCAACCAUUGCUGCGACUUGCUUGCUUGGAAAGCCUGCAAUGAUAAUCAUGACAUACCAGAAGAUGUAGAUAUACCAUUGUAUAUCGAACCUUCAACUUGAUCACUUUUUGACGGUUGUAACAACUAUAAACGCAAGACGGGUCAAAGCAGAGAUUAUAUGCACACUCAUCAUGAAGUACGCAGAGAAUUGGUUGCCACUAAUCGAAGAUGAUUUGGAAAUAAUACGAGGUUACAGGUCAGGAAACAUUGAGUUGCAGUUCAGUGUUGAACGAGAGAGAACGGAGGAAAGAAGUUUAGGAUGUUAAGAACAAAAGUGAAUCAUAGAAAGCUUAGUAAGUGUGCUUCAUACACAACCUGGAACAGUACCAUGCCAGUUUCUGUUGAGGUUACUGAAUCAACUUUAUAAAUGUAGAAAUGAUCAUUUUUUAAUGCAAACGAUGAAUGUAAAGCUAUGGUUACUGCAGCUAUGCUCGCAUAUUUCGAUGGUGACUAACGGCCAAGCGCAGCAGAGGAUCUUAUAUACCAAAUAAGUCAAUAAGAAGAUGGCACAAAGAGAAAAAAGAAAGUAAUGAUCAAGAAAACAAUUACCAAAAAGUCUCUAAAAGCUUCUGGACAUCUGAUUUAUCUGGGAAUGCUUCUAAGGAUCUGCUGCUAAUGCAUAAAGUAAUUUUUACUUUCUAUAAAAUAAUUUACAAUCUUUUAUGUUCGUUUGUUUUCCUUUUGCGACAACUGAGGACUUUUUUGCUGUCCACUUGCAAACUUCUUGCACAUAUUGUUGUACGGUGAUGGUAUCUUGAAUUGUUGUAUGCAGUCGGUGCAAAUACUGUCAGAUUUGUGAUAAGUGAGAGCUCCUCCUUUCUCUUUUGCUCUUUGAUUUUUAUAAUAUUUUUUGUUGUUGUUGUAUCGUACAUGAGAAUAUUACUGAUUAAAAAAAUGUUAUCCUCCCUUUCAGGUCUUAUGAAGCUAAACAGAGGCGUGAAGACAUGAAGACAUCCUGUUAAUUUCAAUGAUACACGUACAUUAUAAACCGAUGUCGAAAUAUAUUAAAUUUUUUUGUAAUGCUCAGGUUUAAUUAUUAAAAUAUGAUAUUUUUACUAAUUAGAGUUACAUUUCUCAAAUAUAUUGUUUUAAAUAUAAACAAAAGUAGGUUAAAUUUAUAUUUUCACAUACACAACAAUUCUGAAAACUCAUUAAAAUUUGCUAAAAAUAAACGUAGUUAUUAUUAUAAAUUAGAGUUAUAAACCCGCGCUCAGUAUAUAUAUAUUUUUAAAUAUAAUCCAUUAGAGAUUCAAAGUAAUCCUUUGCUUUAUGAUCCAUUAAAUAUAAUCCUUAGGUUUAUGAUUCAUUAGAGAUUCAAAGUAACAAAAUAAAUUCGCUUUUCAGUUUUGAAAAGAUAAUUAUGAGUUAAAAAUGAGAUAUUACUAUCCAAUAUUCAUAUAUGUAUCUCUUUCCUCAAUGUAAAACAUAAUAUCUAACUAUUACAAAACAUUUAUAUAUAAAAAGAUUAAUAUAUUUUUUUUGUCAAAAGGUUAAUAUAUUUUUAUGAGAUUAUUAAAAUAUCAUCAUAUAUAUAGAUGUUUUUUUAAUGCCACUGUAAAAAACGUAUUUUAUUUAUUUAUUCCAUAAAAAAUAUUAACAGUUAGCCAUUAAACUAAAUUAUUUUAACAAAACAAUUAAACAACCACAAAAUGAAGCUCACGGAGUUGUUAUAAUGGAGUUGUGAUAAUCAGUGGCAGAUCUAGAAUAUUUUUAUAGUGGGGACAUAUAUUAUUUAAAUAUAAAAUAAAAAUACUUAUUACAAUUAUUUGUUCAUAUAAAACAUAUUCUGUUCAAAUUUUGUUAAAUAAGAACUAUUAUUGCAUAAACAAAAUUUUGAAUAUAUAUAUAUAUUAGUUUAAAAUUUAUUUUCUAUUAUAAUAUAUUUUUUUAAUUUUUAAUAUCAUUAAAGUAAAUAUACAUUCUGAGAAAUAUUUACAUAAUAGAUAAUUAAAUUAAAUGAUUAAAAUAAAACUUGGUAAAAAGAAUAUGCGAGAAAAAAAUGGAAGAGUAUGCGAGCAAUAUAUCAUAGGACAUACCGACAUAGAUUCAAAAAUAUGUGGAAAUCAUUAAAAUAAUGACAUUUAUGGGAGAGGUAAAUUAGGAAAUAGUUUUAUGAUUUAUGUUGGAAAGAAAAAAAGUUUAAAACAAAACAAGAUCGAAUUAAAAACGUGACUAAACCAUAAAUGAACGGGGCAAAGACUUUUAGUUAGUGGGGGCAGUAGCCAAUAACGUCAGCUUUAAAAUUUUUAUUCUGGUAACAUAUUCAAUAUUUUUAAAAUUUCACUGUGGGCAGCUGCCCCCUCCCUGCUUCAUGUAGAUCCGCCCAUGGUUAUAAUAUAUAUUAGCCGACCAUUUUUUCAUUGAAACUGUACUCACACAAAAAAAUUACACCAGUAUUAUAUAAUAUUAAACCUUUUCAGAUUAGAUGUCGUUCUAAUUUUUUCACAUUAAUUAAGAAAAAUGUUAAAUGUUCCGUUUAGUCGUUUACCCCUAUUUAGUUAUUUAAAAUUUAUUAAUUCUUUUCUACUAUUAUGUAAGGAUUAAACAAAAUUAACACAUAUUAAUUUGAAAGCAUACAACCUCACUCACACCACAUCUAAUUUUUCAUGCGGUUGACCUCUGGUAAUCAUUUCCUCGCACACAUCAUUUAGUAAAGCAAACAACACUUACACAUAUGAGUUCCAAAGCAAAUCUAACACACUACCAAUAAGAGCUACACCAUAUUUUCCCCAAACAUCUUAACAACCAUAAACAUUAUUAUACAUUUUUUUUCAUAUCCUAACAUAAAACACAUGCAAAGAAAACAUACAAUAAUAUAGACAUAUACAUCAUAUGUAAAUCAUAUCCCGCCCGUAGGGCGGGCCGAUCCUAGUUAUUAAUAUUUAUGUGUAUAUAUAAUUCUAAAGUUUGGUAUUCAAUAUUUAAUCCUAAAAAUAAAGGGCAAACUAAGAAUGAAAUCUGUAACAGACUAAGAAGUUUUAUAGCAUAAUAGCCUAGUUGAAUAAUUAAUGUGCAUUGGAUAUAAUUAACUAUUAUCUUUGAACUAAUAAUUUAUAUGCAUUGAAUAUAAUCAAUAGUAUUAUCUUUGAAUUUCUUACCCAAAAAGAACCAACUGUUUAGACCACCUUGUGAAUUAUAAAUCUAUUACGCAUGCAGGCUAAAAAUUAACCCGGAUUAUAGGGGUGAUCCUUUCCUUCCUCUCUAAGAUUACAAACGAACUCUUGAUUUGCCUCAUUUCGUUUGAGUUUUCGAUAGAUGAUUCAGUGUGGUAUUGUGAUUAAAUGUGACAAAAUCUAUAAAUAAUAAUCGCUCAAUUCAAAUAAUAAAAAUGAAGGAUGUGUGACAGAGCACACAUUAUAACCAAGUCUUUAUAAUGUCAUAACUAAAAAUAAGCGGUCUCAACAAGAGAACUCCAUAGUUACUCACAAGAUAAAAGCAAACUCUUAACUAAAAAUGAUAGGGGUGUUAGAUACGGGUGAACAUUAUGACCAAUGCGCCGCUGAUUGCAAGUGACAAGACAGAGAUUGAAGAUCCAUGGUUACUAUGAGAAGGGCUUGGAGCUGGAGCAGAAUUUGAACCUGGUCCCGAUCCAUUUAGUGGUCUAGCAGCAGGAACUGGAGCUGUUACAAAAAAAAAAACAUAGUAGACGAUAGUCAAAACACAUAGUCAAAGUUGAUACAUCAACAUGCAUUAACACCAUUUUUAUCGUAAUGUCUAUUGACUUUACAGUUCCCCUACUUUAUUGUUAUAAUAAAGUGAAACAAAACAUGCUUCAAGCAAGAGAAGUCCAAAGAUCCAAAGCGUGAAAAAAUCAGAAAUUUCACAAACCAUGAAAAUAAAUAACAAUGGUAAAAAAAAAAAAGAAAUUUGAUUAUUAAUCCAAAAGUAAAUAUUUUCAGAUGGCAUGCAAAAUAAAAUUAAAAAAGACCAAAGAAACUAAAGAUUGAUUUACGAUGAAAUCAACAAAGAGAAAGAGAAUAUACCUGGCGCACUAGCAGGGGGUUUAGCAAACACUGCAACACAACAACAACAACAACAACAAAGAUCUCUGUUAGAGAAGAGCACAAGAUCUAACCAAAAAUAUUAUAUACAACAACAACAACAACAAAAGAUCACGGUUAGAGGAGAGCAAUAGAUCUAACCUCAUUUAUAUACAACAAGAACAACUACAAAAGAUCUUCUGAGAGAUGAUGAAGAAAAAUCUUACAUGCACAAGCAGGCAUGGGAGGAGCUUUGAGUUGGCAAGCAUCGGGAAGAGUACCGGCUUUAGUGAGGUUCAGAUUGAUUCCCGCGGCGGCACUGCUCUUCAACCCUUCGCACAGACAUUCAGCUUUCGUGUCGAGCACGGUUUUGAUAACAGAGCAACACGCGGUCUCGGGCUUCUCCACUUGACUACCGAUCGUCACGAAAGGCAAACACUUCGUCAAGGUCAUUAUCAUGGCGGAGCAUUCGACGGACUGUGCAGUGUUUCCGUUAACAGAAAGAGAGGAAACAAAGAGGAAGAGGAGGAGGAGAGGAAGCGCGGCGGAGAAGAGGGCCAUUGUUUGAUUAUCUGUUGUUGUUGUUUUAACUCGUCUGAUCACUUAGAGAGAAAUGUGUAAGAGAAUGAGAAGAAGGGUAGUGUUAUUUAUAUAGGUCUGAUCUUAGGUCAUGUUAAAACGGUGUAGUUUUCGCGUACGCGUUUAGUGGAUUAUUAUGGGAAUCUCAAUGAAAUAACUUGACCAUUUUAAUUUGAUUUGAUCCUUUAAGUUAAUCAACAUUUGUCAUUAAAGAGUUUUAUUUUGAAUAAUUGAUUUAUUACCUAAAAUUGCUUUAUUGGAAGAAUAUUGAAGUAGAAACAAAGAGAAAGUCCAAGUAAAAUAUAUUCUUCACACGCUUUCCUUAAAUUGUAGUAUUUCGUUUUCAAACUUUUUUGCUAUCAUACCAUAUUCGUCGUGUAUUCGUGUCAGUGCUUGCUGUAUUCCAAUCUUUUUAUUUUGUAACUAUCUUGGGUUUGAGUGUAUAAAUAUUAAUGUUUGACUACAGUAAACAACUCUUUUAAAAAUAUAUACAUAGCUGUAAGUUUAGGCAAAACAACUCAAGAAUAUCAUCAUUUAUGUUUUAUUCUAUUUAGUAAUUAGCAUAAAUACAACAAAUCCUAAAGAAAAAAAUAUCUAAGAAUUAAUUUAAGUUUGAGCUCUUUUUAGGGAUCCAUUUAGUGGUCUAGCAGCAGGAACUGGAGCUGUUACAAAAAAAAAAACAUAGUAGACGAUAGUCAAAACACAUAGUCAAAGUUGAUACAUCAACAUGCAUUAACACCAUUUUUAUCGUAAUGUCUAUUGACUUUACAGUUCCCCUACUUUAUUGUUAUAAUAAAGUGAAACAAAACAUGCUUCAAGCAAGAGAAGUCCAAAGAUCCAAAGCGUGAAAAAAUCAGAAAUUUCACAAACCAUGAAAAUAAAUAACAAUGGUAAAAAAAAAAAAGAAAUUUGAUUAUUAAUCCAAAAGUAAAUAUUUUCAGAUGGCAUGCAAAAUAAAAUUAAAAAAGACCAAAGAAACUAAAGAUUGAUUUACGAUGAAAUCAACAAAGAGAAAGAGAAUAUACCUGGCGCACUAGCAGGGGGUUUAGCAAACACUGCAACACAACAACAACAACAACAACAAAGAUCUCUGUUAGAGAAGAGCACAAGAUCUAACCAAAAAUAUUAUAUACAACAACAACAACAACAAAAGAUCACGGUUAGAGGAGAGCAAUAGAUCUAACCUCAUUUAUAUACAACAAGAACAACUACAAAAGAUCUUCUGAGAGAUGAUGAAGAAAAAUCUUACAUGCACAAGCAGGCAUGGGAGGAGCUUUGAGUUGGCAAGCAUCGGGAAGAGUACCGGCUUUAGUGAGGUUCAGAUUGAUUCCCGCGGCGGCACUGCUCUUCAACCCUUCGCACAGACAUUCAGCUUUCGUGUCGAGCACGGUUUUGAUAACAGAGCAACACGCGGUCUCGGGCUUCUCCACUUGACUACCGAUCGUCACGAAAGGCAAACACUUCGUCAAGGUCAUUAUCAUGGCGGAGCAUUCGACGGACUGUGCAGUGUUUCCGUUAACAGAAAGAGAGGAAACAAAGAGGAAGAGGAGGAGGAGAGGAAGCGCGGCGGAGAAGAGGGCCAUUGUUUGAUUAUCUGUUGUUGUUGUUUUAACUCGUC
rnacentral:lncRNA from 1 species